GUAUUAUUUCAUCUCUAUAGGAAUUAAAUGAUAAGGCUACGUGAUGCAUAACUUUUUCCUUUUCCUGUCUUUGUUUUUCUCUUCUUUCUACUUUUGGUUUUACUACCUAAGAAAAAUUAAUCGAGGAUAUAAGAAACAUAAUGGCAUGCAUUUACUCUAAAAAUGAUCUUAAUAACUGCAAAAUUUCAGAUGGAAUCACAACAACAAUGCUCUUUAUCGAGGAAAGCAAAUCCAGAAAGAUAUGUGCAAAAGAUGGAAAAAGAAAAUAAGGUUCAGCAAUGGAACAAAUUAAGAUUAUAAUCUCGGCUAUUUACUUCAAUAUGAAUCAGCCAAAAGGAAACUUUUCUUAUUUGACGAAUUAAGAUUCAAAAAUACAAAACUUACAGUGCGAAGGAACCAAAUUGGUUUUUAGGUAUUCGCCAAUUUACAAGCAUACGCCAAAUACUUAUCCACAUUCUUGAGCCCGCAUAGCUCCUUGACCACGGGCAUUGUAGCCGGGACCGCCAAAUCGAACGCGAGAGGAGAUUCUUCAGAUCCGAUGAGUGACAAAAGUUGUGCCCUAGCGGCUCGAAUGGCUUCUCUUGUCGCGCAAUGAACCGAAGCUGCAAGAAGCAAUGGCGGCUCCCCAGAUGCUGCAAGGAAGAGUUGCGGUUAGUAGCAGAAUAAUAACACUUAAAAGCAUCUCAGAAAAUAUUUCCCGUGAUUUACUUGGAUGAAAUUGCAAUAUAUGUGCAAGUUCAGGGACCAAACUGUUUGAGUAAAAAGUUCAGGGCUAGGUUGCAAUAUCAGUUCUUUACAAUUUUUUUUUUCCAGUGUAACCACAGCAAAAAUUUACGGGAUUUUAAUACAUCAUUGCAAUACACAAAAAUUGAAAGAUUUUAAGAUAAUAAGCAGCAUAUAAGAGUGACUACUUAUGUUGCGAUGUUAUUUGGAGCCGGAAGCAGAACUUGGAAAAUGAUGCCAUUACCUUUCGAAGAGAGCACACGCCUUUUAUGAUAUCCGCUGUUAAUUAACUCAACAUUGAACUGUUUCGGAAUGGUGUCCACAGUCGGUACUUUGUAUGUCCAAGUACCAUCAGAAACAACCAACCCAUCGGAAUUGCUCAAAUAUUCCUCAUACAUAAAGAAGCCAAUCCCUUGAACAAAAGCUCCUUCAACCUGCAUAGAAAAGAUUGUAAACAUUUUUGUCCUAAUAAGCAAAGCAUAUGCCAUGACAUAUAAAAAAGAAGAGUUGGUACUUAGAACAGAAUCAUCAUUGGAACGGGAUUGAUAAUGAACCUGACCCAAAUCCACAGCAGGGUUUAAGCUCUGGCCGCAGUCGUAAGUUAGGUCACUCCGCAAAAUCGUGGUAGUUCCUGUGAGAAGAUCUACCUCCACCUGUAACAACAAAUAAAAUCAGUUCAUUUUGUUUAAAUAUCAAUUUUUUGAAAGAACUUGCUGAAAAAGUUUGGCUACAGUGAGCAGAUGCAUUGAAGUACCUCGCUUACAGCAGCUCCAAAAUUCAGAUAGCUUGCAGAACUCCCGUCAGGGACCCAGUAAGCAGUUGCCGAUAAAUUCACGCUUUCCAGAUUCGCCUGCAGGUGUGGAAGAAAAGGCACGAAAUCUAAGGCAAGUAUUAUUCAGACAAUCUCUUGGGCACUGAAACACAUUAUGUAUAAACAUCUAUGCAUAUUGUAUAUCUCCAUAAUGAGCUUGCAAAAUCUGAAUGUUCAUACAUAUCAAAGUGUUCCACUAAAAAUAACAAUUUCAAACACCGAACCAACAGCUCCCCUGGAGUUGGACAACCAGAGAUUAAGGAUAUUUCUGUAGGAAACUGCACUUUCGAGAGGUAUUAAGAAGAUAUAGAUUUAAAAGGGGUUUACACGUAAAUAAAUGAUUAUGCAGUAAUAUGUAUAUAUUUAGAAGCUCCAAACUGUAAAAUGGAAUAAUUACCUGCAUAAUUAAAGAAUCCCACGAAACCGUGCCCUGCUGUAUUUCCAGCCUCUCCUUAAGAGAUUUUAGUCUCUCAACAAGAACAUUACAAGAUACACGAACUGCCUCGCAGCUAGAUUCUGAUGUAGUACUCCCAGCCGUCCAUCCUCCUUGUAUCAAACUCAAAGUAUCAGCCUGAACAACCCUUAUCCUCUCCAGAAGGCUUUGAUUUUGCUCACCCAACAACUUCCCAAGAGCAAAAGCCGCCAUCUGCUUCACUUUUGUCCACAACCCUUGCCCCAGUUCAAUCCCUCCAACUUCAACGACAAUCGAACCAUCGUUAAGAACCGAUACUUUGCCCGGAGUGGGCCUAAGAAUCACUUUGUGCACAAUGGGUACGCAGGAAAUUCCCCUUUUCUUCCACUGGUUGCUACUAUUGAAUCGCUUGAUCAUUUCAACACGGUGCCGAUAGCUCGAAGAAAAGGCCAAUUUAUCAAAAAUAGUGGGGAGUGUAUAUUCAAGAGCUUCGUCCUCGCAACCUUCAUAAAACAAUUUAAGGCUCUCAAAAGUGUGAAGAUUCUUUUGCCUGAUAGAAUUGGGUUCAACACCGAGGGCUGAUGCGACAUGUUCGAUGACGGCCUCGGCAAUGUACGAGCCCUGAACCUCUCCUGGGGCCCGCAUUGCCGACCUGGUUGGAGUAUUGGUUUUGCAGACCUUCACAUCGAAUGAAAGAGAACCCCAAUUGUAUUUCUUGAGUGCUUCGAUAAUGUUAUGUGGCAUUAUGGGGCUCACAUCUUUUGUUCUUCCUGCAUUAAUCAAUAGAUCUAUAUGCAAGGCAGUAAUUUUUCCAUCGGACUUGAAGCCCACUGAAUAGUAUACUUUCAUUGGAUGUCGGCCUCCCACCAUUAUCAUGUCAGUUUUGCGAUCGAGAUACAUACGAACCGGGCGCCGCAACUUAUAUGCAGCUAGUGCACAUGCAGUUGCAACCUAACACAGCAACACAAUUAGCCAUAAGCUCUCUCUCCUUUUUCCAGAAAAAUUUGAUUUACAGAAUAGAAUGUUAGGUUCAAAUUCAAGCACCACGAAGGGAAUUCUCGAUGCAACGAUUUUAAUCUGCCUAUAAGUACUCGAUGCACAUACUAUGCCUGUUUGGCCUAACUUUUGAAGCAGCUUCUCUAUUCCAACCGGCAGAAUUUUUUUAGAAAACAGACGCUCAUGGGAUCAUCACUAUCCCGCAAUUUAGAAGGCAAAUACAAAGACAAAUAUAACUAUCUUGCUUAACACAGAUGUAUCUACAUGUAUGAAUACUCGCAUCUAUAAGGAACCUACAUGCCAAAUUAAUCAGACUUGAAGGUCAUUGAUUUUAGGACUAAACAGAAAAAUAAGAAGAAAAAUCAAAUGACUCUUGCACAUAGUUUUUUAUAUACUGAAAAUCAUCUCAUAUGCAAAAUUUUGAAGUUAAUAAUACUUACAGGUAAUGAUCUAAGUGCUUUCCCUCCAAAACCACCUCCAACUCUUCGGGUAAUUACACGGACAUUGUGGAAAGGGAUACCGAGGCAUUUUGCAAUGACACCCUGUGCUGUCUCAGGACACUGACUCGAACUAUAUACUACCAUGCAAUUAUCUUCAUCUGGAAUAGCUAGUGCUGUUUGAGUCUCCAUAUAAAAAUAAUACUGUGAACCAAGUGUAACCUGGAUAUAGAAGUUAAGAUCAGUUUGUCAUGCUUAUAAUGUUAGAGCAAAACAAAAUCUUAACCAUAAAAGAUACUAUAUAACAUCUCUGGAAGGGCAGUGAAUUCACUAUAUCGUAACCCAGUUUAUUAUGAAAAGUCCAACAAAUAAGAAAAAAACGCGCAAGUCAGUAGCAGUGCGAUCUAUACAUGAACACACGCCAUUUCAGUUGAAUGAGAGGGACAUUCUGAAAAAUGCACCCAAAUGAACGGCAAAACCAAUGAGUAUAGAAAGUUACCUUGGCUGAUAGAAUCGUGUGAUCAGCUUCUGCCAUUCCCUUGGAGUAAUCACCAACCUCUUUAGGAUAGACAAAUGAGGGGACUUCAAAAUAACUGCUUCUUUUGACAGCAUCUUCUACUGAUAAAAUUGGCGGCUCCAGAUUUUCUGUGCUAUAGGCAACCACAGCAUGCUUCGCUGCCAAGUUAGCAAAUCGCUGUGUUUCUGCAAUCUAAAUUAGUACUCCAUCAGAUUUAUUUAAUGUACUAUUCAGAACACAAGACAAAAAUUGUUAUCAUCUUCAUUUAAUUGGAUUCGCGUAAUUUGAUAGUUAGAAAUGAUAUUUUAACACAAGCAGAGGAAAGGAAGUUUGGAGAUGAUAGCAGCAAUCAAAAUAAUGAGAACAAGAAAAAUACCACAACGCUAAGUGGUUGGCCGGCAUACUCUGUAAGUGAAUCAGCAAACAAUGGAUCGGACCCAAACAUACUGCUUGCCCCGAUGUUACUUCCUCCUUUUGGAAUGUCAUCAACGGAAACAAUUUUAAUGAUUUUCUGCUGUGCCAGAGAAGAAUGGAACUCGAUGCUCUUCACAUGUGCGAAAGGCCUUGUGCUAUAUACAAAUGCUCCAUAAAGACAGUCGUUCGGAGAAGGGAUGUCAUCCACAUAUACAGCUUCACCUGCAUUUUGUGGAUCAAAAGAUUAUUGAAAAGAAAGAUGUCAUAGAUGAAUCUGCCUGUUACUAGGCGAGAAGAUGCAUAGGCGCUACUAGUUAGUUCAGAAAAUAUGAAAGAUGAGGAACGUUGGCACUUAUGAAUAUGACUGCCAUUAGUUAAUUGCAAGAGACUAAGAUAUAGAUCUGAAAUCUCAUAUCACAACUCAAUACAAGUAUUUUCUCUCAGUUUAUCAAGCGAAAGACACAAACAGAAAUAACAGAAGUGACUGAGAAAAAUUAACAGCAUAUCACAAAUAAUUCCUCAUGGCGAUGAUCUUACUUUGUCAAACCUAAAUUAACAAAUAUAUGGCAAUAAACAAGAACAAAAAUAGAAGAGCUCAUCUAGAACGAUUGAUAUGCACGUACGUACCCGAAGCUUGGAUUUCAGCUCCAGCUUUCUUAGUUGGCUCGCCAACUGGAUGAUACUCUUUGUUCAGUUCCAUAAUCUGCUCUGAGGAAGAAAGCAUGCGAUUACAAUGGUUACCAUGCUCAGAUGCACUAUCAAGCGUAAUAUUGGCAUGCCCAUUAAGACUACCGUUUGGACAUUCAGCACUAACAGAUACAUUUUCUAAUACAUUACGAUUGUUCUUCAUAGGCUUUUCCAAGCCUGCAGUUACUGGAUGAAGGAAACUAAACAGAAAUGCAACAGCCAAACUUAUUCUAUAGGCAGCGUGCGGCGUGCCUUGUUCUGGUAUAAUUGUUUCUCUCAGCAAUCUAAUUCCUUCAAGUAGAACAGAUGAUCUGAUAGCUUUACCAAGUAAAAAUUUCUCAACCUUUCGAGCUCUAAUGGCAUGUGGGCACCCAUAAGCACCGAAAGCCAAGCGUAAAUUCUCUAUAACAACAUCACCUGAUUCUUUAUCUAAGGAAGUCUCAGCCAAAAAGGCAGAAUUAAGAUAAGCUAAAGCAUUCCCAAGAGGGCGUGGAGCAGCUCGGUAUGUUUCAAACAAAAGAUCAGUUCUUGAAAUCCAAGAGGGAAUAUAUAUGCUAACUAAAAGAGUUUUAUGAUCACAUGGAGGCAUUUCUAGAAAUUCCUCCAAUGUGAGACUUAAUCUUUCUGAGGAGAGCUGAAGACAAACAGUUGAAUCAGCAGCAAGAAGUAUCGUAGCGAUGUCUGAGGGAAAAUGAUUUCUCUGUGCCAUGACCAAGUUUCCUCCCAUGCUAGCUGUGUUUCGAACAAAUUGUGAAGCCACUUUUUCCAUGUGAUCAGCAAUUUUACUAAACACUAAGCUUUGAUUUUCUUCCCUUAAUGCUUCAACUGUCCUAGAGAUUGAAACAGCUGCUCCGAUUUCAAGGCCUUCAUGGUUAUUUUUUAUCAUUGUUAGCUCGGGAAUCUCUCUGAGGUCAAUAUACUUAUCAAAUAGGUCCAAUUCUUUGUAAACACCCGAAGCAGUGUUGCCAACAACCAUUUUAACAUGGCUUUUACUAAAUUCUUCCGAAUCUAACAGUUUAUAAAGUUCUUUGAUACUUUUAGGACGGCACCAAUAACCUCCUCCAAAGGAACUAAUCUCAGCAACAUUCGAAUAAGCCGAAAAGGAUUUGACCUCAGAUUUCAAGAACUCAGGAAACGUACAGAUCCCACCACGUUUAUAGUACGGCAAUUUGUCAGCAUUCGCAUUUUUACCCCCUCUCUUCCAAAAUGAAUUAAGGCCCAAAUCUUCCAAGUCAACAUCAGCUGCAAAGCUCUUACACGUAUCUAAUAUUGGCCGGUACCCAGUGCAUCGACACAAAUUGCCUAAGACAGCCUUCUCUGCCUCAGAAACUAAGAGCUUUGAAAACCCCUCUGGAGGGUCGGGCUGAUUAGUUUUAUCCGCAUUAACUAAGGAGGAUAAAAGAGACAUGCACAUGCCGGGAGUACAAAACCCGCACUGAGAGGCAUGAAAGCCUGAGAGCCUUCGGUGAAUUGAAUGGAAACCAUCCUUGCUGUUUCCGAGCCCCUCUGUGGUUGUGAUUGAGCAGAGAUUUAUACUGCAAAGAAGUGUUAGGCAAGAGCUGACGGUAAAAUCAUUCACUUGGUCAGUAACAGGAUCGUAUGUUGACAGAAGAACGGCGCAAGCGCCACAGCCACCUGAAACAACAGAGCUCAUGUAAAGUACUGUUUUCAAUAUAUAAAUGCAGAAAACGAAUGUAGAGAAAAUCAUCUACAAUAUAUUGGUUUAUGCUUCCUUGAUCCAUUUUCAAAUUGUUGUGUGAAUAACUUGACUGCAACGACGAUCCAAAUAAUUCAAGUUUGACAACGGCAGCCAAAUUUCUCAGGUUCGGUAUACACCAACAAAUUUCAAUUCCUAAACCAUAUCUCAUAUCCUAGCUUUCUAAUUUGACUCUGGCCAAUUUACUGGGACUGAAAUGUAGGAGCUCAUCAAAACACCAAAAAGUAAUAGCAAUGCCCAUUAAGGAAUCAAACACUCACAAAAAAAGUUCUAUUGCAGAUAAUAGUUCGAACAGCUUCUCCAUUACAAUUGCCCCUGUAACUUCUUACUUUUGGGCUUCAAAAAACUCAUUUUUUGCUUUCCGCUGCAGCCAGAAGCUCAAUUUCCCUCUUAAUUACAUUUUUUAAUUGUCGAGACAUAGGACUUCACUUCUGCUUCGCAAGUAGAAAAGAUAUUCUAAAAACAUUGUAGCAUAGAAUAAUCUAUCAAAUAUUCAAAUAGCAGUUCCCAAUAACUGCAAAUCAUGAUCCAUCUCCCCCUAACUUUACUACUUUAUUGCAAAAAAAAAAAAAAAACAAUUUUUAAUAAUAAUUACCGCAAAAAAAAAGGAGAAAAAGUAACUACCAAUCUAAAAUGAACACCUUAAAUCAACUAAACCAAUCAAACAAAGCUUUUCUUUUGUUUUAAAUAAAAAAUAAUCAUCCUCUCGGCACCCGAGCUUCGCCCCUUUAUACACCAAUCAAAUAAUUUUUUGCAAAAAAGAAAAGAAAAGAAAAGAAAAACACAUCUCCGUUUUUCCUCAAUCAAAUAAAGUUUUUAAAGAUUUUUUUUUUAAAAAAAAACGAUCACCAUCUCCGCACCAGAGCUUCGCCCCCCUUCAUAAACCAAUCAAACAAAGUUUAUUUUUUUUAUUUUAGAAAAAAAAAAACUAUCAUCACCUUAUCCGCACCUGAGCUUCUUCGCACCAUUAUAAACCAAUCACACAAUUUUUUAAUUUUUUUUUUUAAAAAGACGACGACAACAAGAACAACAUCAAAUCACCUUCUCCGCACCCGAGUUUCGCCCCUUUAAACCGCGUCCGCGUCCUCAAAAACUCGAGCAAAGUGAUCGAAGGCUCCGGCACCUCCGCCUCCGACACCUCGCGCCUCUCCCCGUUCACCGCGAACACCAAUUUCCCCAUCAUCGCCCACCCCCUCUCCUCCUCCUCCUCCUCCUCCCCCCCUUCUCCUCCUCGCCCAUGCGAGUAACCUAAUCCGAACAGCGCGACGCGGACAACUCCUCCUCGUACACAGCAACAGCGGUGAUAAGGAGCAGGGGAGGAGCAUGCGCAUAUCCCGAUCCCGCGCACUCUCUCGCACGCCACAAAGAGAGGAAAUUACCUAAUAAGAGAAUAAAGAAAAAGGAAAAGGAAAUGUGAAAAGGAAGAGAGAGAGAGAGAGAGAGAGAGAGAGGAGUCAACGGAGGGGGUAGGGGCAUCGACAUGAGAGCGAUUUCGGCGCUUCUCCCUCUCACUUGUGUGUGUGUGUGUGUGUGUGUGUGUGUGGGUGUGCGCGCGUGUGGUGCAGUGAAGUAACUUCUCGUAGCCACGUUGCUGGGAUUCGGUGAUGCGAUGGAGACGCUACUUGGACUGCGAAUUAAGUUUCGAACUUUGCAUCCCAGAUAUUAUCAAACUCUUUGCUAUUUAAACUAUAAACAAUCGGCAUAUAUUUUUUACAAGUUUAAGUCGUAUAUAUUUUUAUCCUAAUUCUAUUUUGCCUAAAUGAUCAUGUAUUAGUAUUAGAUGAUUCAGUGCAUGAAGUAAUCAAAACUUUUAUGUCAUGUAUGUCAAUACUUGAAUAGAAUAAUGCUGUUGCUGCAUAUGGAUUUUUACAACAAUUUACUAAUAUUUUUACAAUAUUUUACCUGCGUAUUGAUAUGCGCAGUUUUAAUUUGAUAGUAGUUAAUACAAUUCAUGAGAAGAGAUUUUUUUUACAAGUGGAUAAAGAAAAUAAGUACAAAACUGUUACUGUAUAUGUUAACACAUUACCAAUUUAGCAAUAGUCCCAACACCCCCCUCCAGAGAGUGAAACUCGAAAACUAAACACUACCCUAAUAGGUGUAAUAGUAAUAUAUUUAUAUCAAAAGAUAUAUAGUUUAUUAUAUUUAAUACCUGAUCAAACGAUAUGCAAGAAUUUUUUAUACGCUGAAGAGUAUAUGCUGCUCUUCUGAAUCACACAGCUAUGCAGAAGUUGACAGAUCCUUCAAACAAUAUAAGCUUAAAUCACAUAGCCCUAAAAGUAUACUCCAAAAAGAAGGAAGAAGCACAGCAAAUAGAAGCUAUUCCAGAACAUUUAUACAAUGGAUACAAACAGAACAAGUAACCAACCGUAUCAGAUUUUAUUCAUGCUACAAAACCCACUAUCCAGCCUUUUAUAACUCGUAGCGCUACACGACAUGAACUUAUUUCUAGUCUUAGCACACAAAAUGUUCGAAAAAGCGCUCUAAAAAAGGCUGUAUUUAGUAUAACGCUGCAAGGACUCGCGACGACGAAUCACACUUUGACUGACUGAUGAGCAGAAAUGCUUUCCAAGUACUUCUCAAUGUUGUCGAGCCCGCACAUCUCCUUGACCACAGGCAUUGUGGCGGGAACCGGCAAUUCGAAUACAGAGGAAGACUUCUCGGACCCAGUUAUCGAAAAGUGCUCUUUUCUAGCUGCCCUGACGGCUUCUCUUAUCGCACAGUGAACUGAAGCUGCAAGAAGUAAAGGCGGCUCCCCAGAAGCUGCAUAAGAUACAUUAUAAUAGCAUGUUUUAAUAAACAUUAUGAGAAAGAAAACGAAGAAACUGCAAAAGUGAUUCUAUAUAAUUAUAUAAACUUGGUUAUAACUGUUGUUUUUCGGUUUCUUGGAAUCAUCUGUUUAUGGCUGUUGUAAAAAUAUAUAACAGUCGAUUAUAACUCAUAACUUCAACAGAUUUGCAACUACAGAGGUCCAAUUUUAACAAUUUAGUAUCUUAAGUGUCAGUCCAUUAGUAUACCGACAUAAAAGGAGUCGCCACAUCAGUCAAACCUAACCAAACUCAUUACGUAGUAAAUUUGACAUGACAUUUUCUUAGCACAAUUACAGAGGAAAAUUUAUUUGGUAUGCAAAUUUUUGAAGCCAAAUGAAAAGGCCUAAACUGGCAAACAAGCAAUACCUUUAGAAGAGAGCAAAUGCUUUUGGUGAUAUCCGCUACUAAAUAAUUCAACAUUCAAUUCUCUCGGAAUGGUAUCGACAGUAGGGGGUUUGUAGGUCCAAGUGCCAUCCGUGACCACCAAACCAUCUGAGUUUGACAAGUGCUCCUCGUUCACGAAGAAACCAAUUCCCUGAACAAAAGCACCCUCAACCUGCAGAACAGGGGAAGAGUGGCCGAUAAGGUGCAUUACAGAAAUUACUAGGAAUAGUAGCAAAUUUUAAUGGAGAGAGAAAGAAGCACCAUUAUUUAUGAUGCUAUCAGAAUUUUUCCAUUUGUCAAUUAAACGGCAGGUACCGUCUUUUGAAAACCUAAUGGUGUAUGAACAGGAAGCAGACCAAACCAUUUGCACCGUUAUUUACUUUACAUUAGUGUAUAUAAUCACCAGUUGAAAACAUACUCAGCACUCAAGGCCCUGUUUGGCCCAGUUAGAGCUUCUAAAAAGUGCAGCUUGAGCAGAGCUAUUUGUAAAAGCAUUAAAAGCUUUUCACGAUAAUAGCUUUCAACUAUGGCAGAAAAAGCUUCAGGACGUCAGGUUAAGCAGAAUUGAGGCUUCCGCUUACCAGACACAAGUUCAUGGAAGACUACAAAAAAAUCAACGAUAUUUGGAAGCACUUUGUGGUAUAUAAUGAAUUAAGCCAAUAGGAUGUGUAUUGUGUAACAAACCUGUCCCACAUCCACAGCAGGGUUCAAACUUUUGCCACAGUCAUAUGAAAUGUCACUCCUUAGAACCGUGGUAGCUCCGGUGAGAAGAUCAAUCUCCACCUGAAAAUGCAUAAAAUUACCAUGGUGAGGUUGAUAUUGUAAGCAGAAGAGAUAAAUAAUGAGCGUUUCUAAAGGAGGGAAAAAAAAAAGAAAAAUAGGAAGAGAAUAUGUGCACAUCAGUGAAGAAUGUCUAUAAUACACACACACACACACACACACACACACGGAUGUAUGAAUGUGCGUCCAUGUUACACCAAAUUCCAUAAAUGUACCUCGCUUAUAGCAGCUCCGUAAUUUAAAUAGCUUGAAGAAGUUUGGUCAGGAGUCCAGAAUUCACUUGCCGAUAAAUUAAUAUUUUCCAUAGUUGCCUGCAAUGAGAGAAUAGAAAUUCACUUUACAAAUUCAUAAACUUCCAAUGGUCCUAUACUACCAUAGUCUAAUGAAAACAACCUUCCAAGACCUAUGACUAAAACUGCUAAAGAAAAUAAUAAACACAUAAAAGGGUUCACAAAAGAGUGAUAAGAAGACCGACACUCAAAAGAAGACGGAUGAUGAAUGCAAAAUAUAUAUCCAUAUGAAGCUUAAACCUAGAAACAUCUUUGAUAAAAUACCAUUGUAAAUAUGCAAAUAUGCAAAAAGUACCCCUGCAUCGUUGGUUUAGCAUGUGUACCCGUCAAAACCUUGCUUGCACGUGCACCUCUGCCAGGGUGCAAAAACAAUAUUUUGAAAUAUAACUAGGCAGGGUCAUGAAACUAUGAAUCCAAAUAAACAUGAUCUACAAGGCACGUGCGCAAAUACCAACUUCUGCGGGUCAUUUGUACAAUUUCGCAUAUUACAGGUAUUUUUAUGAAGAAAACCCAAAAGAAACUAUGAAGUCAAAAUGAUACCUGAGCUAUUAAAGCACCCCAAGAAACAAAGCCUGCUUGUUCUUGCAGCCUAUCCUUGAUUGGCUUUAAUCUCUCAACCAAAAUAUCACAAGACAAACUAACCGCUUCGCAACUUGAUUCAGAUGUGGUGCUCCCACCAGUUACUCCUCCUUGAAUUAAGCUUAAAGUAUCAGCCUGAACAACUCGCACCUUCUCCAACAGGUUCACGCCCCCAUCCUCCCACAACUUCCCUAGACCAAAUGCCGCCAUCUGCUUCACUUUUGUCCACAACCCUUGCCCUAUUUCGAUUCCUCCAACCUCAACAACAACCGAGCCAUCAUUUAAAACUGAAACUUUCCCAGGUGUUGGUCUUAGUCUCACUUGAUAUAUACUGGGUACACAAGAAAUACCCCGUUUUUUCCAUUUGUUGGCGCUAUUGAAAUUUUUAAUCAUUUCAACGCGUUGCUGAUAGGUUGGAGAUAAUGCCAAUUUAUCAAACAUAGAAGGUAAAGAAUAUGAAGAAGCUUCUCCAAAGUUACCUUCACAAUACAACAUAAUACUCUCAAAGGUGUGAAGAUUCUUUCUCCUAACAUAAUUGGUAUCAAGAGAGAGAACUGAAGCGACAUGCUCAAUAAUAGCUUCGGCAAUAUAAGACCCUUGUAAAUCUCCAGGAGCACGCAUUGCUGACUUGGAUGGGAGAUUUGUUUUACAGACCUUUACGUCGCAAGAAAAAGCACCCCAAUUGUAUUUCUUUAGUGCACCUACGACUGCCCCGGGUAUUAGUGGGCUCACAUCUUCUGAUAUUCCUGCAUUAAUUCGUAGAUCAAUGUGCAAAGCGGUAAGUUUCCCAUCAGAUUUGAAUCCAACAGAGUACUUAACAUUCAUCGGAUGCCGCCCUGCUGCCAUGAUCAUGUCAGUUUUGCGAUCCACGUACAUUCGAACUGGGCGGCGCAAUUUAUGUGCUGCAAGUGCACAUGCUGUGGCAACCUAACAGAAGUAAUAAUCCGAAUCAGUAGUUGCUGGUUUUUUUAAUUUCUUUAGCUGAUUCAAUCAAAACUUUCUGCCCAUACUCAGAAUACAGUGCCAAGUCCAAUAUCAAACACCAUAGUUAAAGAGUUAAUCAUCUAUAUUCAUCAGGCACCUGGGGCCUGUUUGGCCUGGGAGGAAUAAAAUCCACCCCUACAGCUCAGAAACUUCAAGUUAGAGUUUCUGUUUUUGGGUAUUAGAAACUCAUUUCAGCUUCUCGCCGCAGUGAAAGCUCCAAACAUUUUGUUUGUCGGCCACCUCAUUGCAACUUCUUUGCAUUAGAGAAGCUCAGUCAGAACAAGGGCCAAAAGGUAGGUAGUAAAGAAAUUUCACAAAUUUUGGGAAUUCUAGCUGAACCAUCAAAAAUAUGAACAGUCAUGCAUGCAAGUCAAAGGAGAAUGUUCGUGCAAUAUAUUGCAAUUUGCUUCUUUUGCUAUCAUUCUAAAUGUUAAAAGAAGCUUGCAUGGACAUAUUAGUUUCCCACAGAAAAGUCUUUAGUCUGUUCUUUUAAAAUCAAAUUAGAUCCCAAAACAAUAAACUGAAAAGCAUACGCUGGUGUUGAGUCAAAAAACUACUGUAAAGUUAAUCUAACUGAUAAUUGGCAUAAGAAAAGCUACAAUAUACAACAAUUUUCCAAAAAAUUCACAAAUUGAUGAACUUUUAGUUGGCCACAUAAUUUAUCAAGUUAUUUGGUAGUGCACCAAUGUUUAUUGAAAACAAUCAAAAGCUAUAAAUGACCAGUUCAAGAAUUCAUUGCUGGAUAUAUUAUUCAUUAUCUCUUUUAUUCUUAUUCUUUUAAGAAGGGAUAAAAGAUAAUUAAAAAAUGGAAUUUGUUUCCCAUUUCCUCUUCUUUUUUUUUUUACUUUUUUGUAUUUAUAACCAAACAAGUUCCAAAUUUCUUUCAAGCUCACUGAAUUGUUUAACUAAUUCUGAACUUCCCAACUUUACUGAAUUGAUCCCAAAUGCUGAACAUGUGACUACAGCCCAUAAGGAUAUUUCAAAAACAAUCUUGACUCGUGAAUUCCCUGCUUGCCUAGCUGUCACGAUAUCUGAUUGCAUAAAUUCCCUCAUAGGCAUUUCUACUAUGGGGAAUUUUUAUCCUCAAAAGGUAACCAGUCAUAGCCGUCACAUGCUGUAAAAAUAGGAGGUCUAUAUGCAACUGAAUUUUCGUGGUAACAAAUUUAUUUGUUCAGAGAGAGAGAGGGAGAAAGGGAGAGAUGCUCACAGCGAUUGCUUUGAAUGCCUUCCCACCAAAACCCCCUCCAACUCUUCUUGUAAUAACACGGACAUUGUGGAAGGGGAUGCCCAGGCACUUCGCAAUCACACUCUGUGUAAGCUCAGGGCAUUGACUUGAAGAGUAAACCACCAGGCAAUUAUCUUCAUCUGGAAGAGCUAGAGCUGUUUGCGUCUCCAUGUAAAAAUAAUACUGUGAACCAAGAUUUACCUGGCAAAAGCAACAUAAUAAUAAUUGUUGACACGAUGGGUGCGUGAGAUAAACAGAACAAAACAAGUUGGUCAGAAUAAAAUCAAUUAUUUUUAGUGAAAUUUGCCGGGGCCAUUUCAUAAUGAUAAACAAGAAACAACAAAAUGUAAGAGAGUCAAAUACUCAUAAAAGUGCAACUAGUAUCAUUGACUCAUUAAUAAGACUAAUGCUGCAUUAUUUGUUUGAACUUCCCAUUGUAAUUGAAUUUGUUUAAAAAAAAUUUAAAAAUUAUUUUUUUGUAUUUUAUAAGAGAAAAACUGUAAUACGGUUAAAAGAAAGAAAGAAAGAUGUCUUUGCAUUUUUUAAAUUCUAACAUGUAAAAAUUCUUAUUCUGCAUCAGGUGUAGUUGUACUUUAUAUACAAAAAAGCUUAUAAGUAUGUUAAUUGAUGAGUAUAGUAAGUUAUACAUAGCAAAUAUUCAUAAUUAUUUGAUUAAAUCUUUCAAAAUAAUAUUAUUAGAGCUUAUUGGAACCAAAAAAAUUAAAAUAAGUACGUGCCAGAACGUGCCAAUAGGAGGUCAUCUGUAUCCAUCGGCACGUAAGCGUGCCAUGUGUCGGCACACAAGCGUGCCGGUGCCGUACCGUACCAUGCCAGACAGACAGCGACACGCUUCUGUACCACGGCACUUUAAACCUUGAUUAUCAAUACACUGGAGGGGUCUUUUCGCAAUAAAUACAACCUUUGAGCCAUAAAAUUCCUGUUAGAUGUAAAGGAAAAUGGAUAUAGAAAAGCACCUCGCCAGAUUGAAUUGUUUGAUCAGCUUCUGCCAUUCCUUUGGAGAAAUCACCUAUUGAUUUAGGAUCAAAAGGGGGUGGAAUUUGGAAAUAACUUUGUCUCUUAAUUGCAUCUUCUACCGUUAAAAUUGGUGGUUCCAAAUUUUCCAUGCCAUAGUCAACAGUAGCUUGUUUAGCAGCCAUGUUGGCAUAUCUCUGAGUUUCUGCAAUCUGAAAAGACAUGGUCCAUCUCAGUCAUAACAGCAGAAGUCACAUUUAACCAGAAAGAAAUAUUCAGGUCACAAAAAGAAAAGGUUAACCCACUUGUGCAUUGGCAUAUGAAGUAGAAACAUAACUAGAUAAGGGCCUCUGUUUAAUCAUCUAGUCAUGUAUACGCCUCUGUAGAAUCUUAAUUUCAUACAUACCCCUCAAAACUGCAGUUUUUCACAAAGAUACCCUUAAAUUGGGGAGUCAUCCAAUUCACAUGGAUGACUUGGUUUCCUAUUGGAAAAUGGUUUUUAAGAGGAGCAUUUUCUUAAGUACAAGGAUACAUGUACGAAUUAGGGUUUUGAAGGCCAUCUAUGAUGAUUCAGAUUUUGCAGGAACACUUAGGUUAUUAGAUAACGUUGUAAGGGUAUAUGCCUGAAUAUGUUGAAAAAAAAAAUUGCGAGAGCAAGAGAGGUACCAAAAUGCCUAGUGGUUGUCCAGCAUACUCGGUAAGCGAAUCAGCAAAUAAUGGUUCCGUCCCAAACACAAAGGACACUCCGAUAUUUUGCCCACCGCUUGGAAUGUCCUUCACAGUAAGAACAGAGACAAUUUUCUGUGCUGCAAGAGAAUUGUUAAAGUUGAUUCCUCUAACGUGAGCAAGGGGUCUGGUGCUGUAGAUAAAAGCUCCAUAGAGACAGUCCUUUGGAGCAGGAAUGUCAUCCACAUAUACAGCUUCACCUGCAUAAGUUAAGCAUGUAAUUAGUGCUAAAGAAGAAACAUUUAACUUCAACGAGUUGUGAAGGUGUCAGAUAGAAACAUUUAUGCACUAAAAUAUGCUUGGCAAGUGAUAUGACCGAGCAACGCAUGAUGCUGAGAUUUCAAACCAGGCCAAUAUUUGAUUGGAUGUUAAUGGUCAGUUCGAUAUGUUUGGACAACAUCAUGCAGGUUUCAUAUCCAAAUUCAGCCUGAUAACAUAAUCAUCUCAUUACCCUACUAAAGCUCAAGGAUUAAAUCAAUAAUGAAGAGACAAUAUGAGGGUUAUCAUGUAAAUAACAAGAAUUGCAGGAUUUAUAGGCAAUAUUCAAAGAUUUAAAGAACUAAUAAGCAAGAAAGAUAAAUGAAGUAAAGCUCCUCAAGGAUGCAAGUAGGUACCAGAAGCUUGGAUAUCCGCUCCAGCUUUAUUAGUUGGCGCCCCAACUGGGAAAUAGUCUUUGCUGAACUCCACUUCUUGCUGUGAAGAAAAAUGUAAAUCACUGUCAUCAUGAUAUACAUGAUUUAAGGCCAUAUUGUUUUCGUAUCCAUUGAGACAGCCAUGUGGAUAUUUAGCAGUAUCACUAUUAGAUAUAAGAGUCUUCCCAGGCUCUGUCAAAUCUUUAGCAAGUGGGUGGAGAAAACUGAAUAGGAAACUAACAGACAAACUUGUUCUAUAUUCAGGAUGCGACGUGCCUUUGGAAGCAACAACUGUUUCUCUAAGCAACCCGAAUGCUUCAAGUAGAACAGACGUGGUAACGGCUUUACCCACUAGAAACUCCUCAACUUUCCUUGCCCUAAUGGCAUGCUGUGUUCCAUACGCACCAAAAGCCAACUGUACUUUAUCCAAGAUAAAAGCGCCUGAUUCUUUACAUGGAGAAAUCUGUGCUAGAAAUGCAGAAUUGAGAUAAGCCACGGCAUUGCCGAGAGGACGAGGGGCAGCUCUGUAUGUGUUAAAAAGCAGUUCAGUCCCUGCUAUACUCCAAGAAGGAAUAAAUAUGCUCAAUAGUAUGGUUUUACAAUCGAAUGGAGGCCUCUCCAAAAAUUCCUCCAGCGUCAGAGUUAACCUUUCUGAAGGUGUUUGGAUACAAAUAGUGGAACCGGCAGCAAGAAGUAUUGUGGCUAUGUCUGAGGCAAAUUCAGAUCUUUGAGCCAUCAUUAUAUUUCCUCCUAAGCUAGCUGUAUUUCGAACAAAUGGCGAGGCUACCUUAUUCAUGUGAUCAGCGAUUUUCUUGAAGACUGCAGCACCAUCAUUCUCUUCUCUAAGCACUUCGAUAGCUCUAGAAAUCGUCACCGCUGCUCCAAAUUCAAUGCCUUUGUUAUCCUUUUUAAUCACCGAAAGCUCAGGGAUUGCUCGGAGGUCAACAUACUUAUCAUACAAGUCCAUAUCUUUAUAAACGCCAGAGCCAGUGUUUCCCACUACCAAUUUGACUUUUCUUUCAUCAAAUGCAUUAGAAUUCAGUAACUUGUAAAGUUCUUCAAUACUAUCAGGGCGAUACCAACCCUCUUCGACAGAAGUAAGCGUAGUUCCAUUCAGAACACUAGAUGAGGAUUGGAUUUCAGUUUUUAGGAAUUCCGGGAAAGUGCAGACUCUGCCACUAGAAUAGGAGGGCAACUUGGUAGUUUUCAAAUCCUUAUCCCCCUUUUUCCAAAAAGUAUUCAACCCCAAAUCUUCCAAAUCUACGUCAGCUGCGAAGCUCUUGCAAGCAUCUAGAAUGGGUCGGUAACCAGUGCAUCGACACAAAUUACCUUGAAUAGCCUUCGCCGCCUCGGAGACCGUAAGCUUGGAGAACCCAUUUGGCGGCUCAGGUCUAUCAGUCUUUUUGUCUGCAUUAACAACGGCAGAGAAAAGGGACAUGCACAUUCCGGGGGUACAAAAACCACACUGCGAGGCAUGAAAGCCGGCCAUCCUUUGGUGAAUUGAAUGGAAACCAUCCUUAGCAUUUCCAAGACCCUCGGUGGUUGUAACUGAGUAGAAAUUUAUACUGCAAAGGAGUGUAAGGCACGAACUCGCAGAAAAUUCUUCGACUUGGUCUGUGGUGGGAUCGUAUUUUGAUAGAAGAACAACACAAGCUCCACAGCCACCUGCAGCAGGGUCAACAACUGAUGAAUUUAAAAGAAUUUCUACAUAGAAAGUAUUGCUAGUUUCAAAAUUCUAUAACAAUAGACAUAUAUACGUGGACAAGAAAGAGAGGGCUGAAUUGAUUGGAAAUAAUGCUUAGCCAUCAAAAUUAGAAUUUAGAGAGAAUCAGAAUAUUUUAAGUAAAACAAGCAAAACAAUCUAAUAGGUCGACGAAAUGUUGAUCAAAGGUAGAUGGCUAGAAGCAUAGGAGAAAAAGGGAGGGUGGAACGAAACAUGAUUAGGAGUACGCAGCCUAUGGGCUUUUAAUGUUAGAAACAUAGAAAGAGAACCUCCCCCUUACCAUCUCAAGAGACCAUUUCAAGAGAAGGGGAAACAGAUUUCCCUGGUUAAACCUCCCCCUUACCCAUUUCAAGAAGAAAAAAUUGUUACAGGCAUCCUAAAACUCCAUUUAGACCCAAUAUAUUGGCAUUAGGGUGCACAGAAAAGAUGUUCAGUCUUUAUUCAAGUGUAACAUUCACUCCCAUCUAUGAGUCUGGCUUGACUCAUGACUUGCUUUGUAUUUGGCCAUGAUAAGUUUACAGCACAAACAUACUCAUAUAUAUAUAUACAAUUUAGUUACAAGUCAAAAAAGAUAAGGCAUAAAUUGAAAGCAUAUAAACAAUUGUAUAGUCAUGUAUAGGGUUGUUGAACGGGCUGUGGGUCGUGCUGGGACAUACCCAGCCAAUCCAUAGCCUGGCAACACCCGACUCGCACCCAUGGUGUGGGCCAUGCUAGGCUGUAGCCUCAUGACCUGUGGCCUGGCAUGGCUCGGCCUGCAUCCAAAUGCCGCAAUGUCGGGCUACAAGGCUAGGCGUGGCUCGGUAUGGCCCGGUCCAUUUAUGACUGGACUUUAGUACCAGGCGGGUCUAUUUUUUUUUUCCUUUUUCUAAUAUAUUUUUUAUUUUUAUUCAUUAUUCAAAAAUUAAUUUAUCAUACUCAAAUUUUAAAUAAUUUUAAAAAAAAUUCAUCUAAAACUUAUUUAUUCAAUAAAAAACUAAAUAUAUUUUAUAAAAUCAAUUGAAAAGGAUUUUAAAAAUAAAAUUAAAAUAUAUAAAAAAAAAUAUUGUAGUAAAAUAGCCCGGCCCGGUUUAGGCCGUAGGCUAUGCUGGGCCAUCACCAUCCAAAGAAAGGUGGCCCGACCCGGCCCUGCUCAGAUUUAAAUCCAUGUAGUGCUGGGCCACCUUGUGGCUCGUUUUGGCCCAAAAAUCUGGACCGUCCAGCCCAGCACGGCCCAGAUUACAUUCCUAAUCAUGUAGUAUGUAAAUGUAAAUAAAGAGACAGACGUACGCACGCAUGGAGAGAGCGUUUCACAUAUUAAUAGUACUGCUGUUUAGUCAUUUUCAUAUGUAAAUAGUACGAUUGUUGACACCUAAACUAACAUGAGGCAAAGAAAAAUAUAUUGAAAAACGACACACAACAACCAAAAAGGACUUCGACAUAGCACUCGAGUUAUGAUAGAUAACUACAGCAAAGGCCAUUUUAGGGUGAAAGGGCUCUAGCAGAGAGAUUUGGCUUCAGUAUCGCCUAACAAAAGGGAGUUUCAGGCCUUUUGGCAAUCCAUGUUCGACGAAGAAUAAGAUACUGAGGCCGAGAUGAAGAAGCUUCAUAUUCUGAAGUUCCGGCUUCUACUCUAGAGAGAAAAUGCCAGGACGAUUUCACUACAAUAUUUUCUGUAACACUCCAAAUAGUUUCACAUCGGAUGGAAAAAGAGUUGUGAUUGGGACUAUAAGAGUUUAAUUAUGGGUCUUAAUAAUAAUAACCGGGCUUCAAAAUUUUGGGGUGGUAGUUCUGGGCUCGACAAAUUAUUAUUGCUAGUAGGUCGACCCACCGAAAGUGUGAAAGCUAAGUACUAUGCAGAACAAAGUGUUGCACCAUGGGUUUGGCGGGAACUACCUUUUGAACUCGCAGGAGCCACUUCUAAAAUCUCACAGCGCAUGAUAAUUCUGGUCGGACGGAAAAUAAGUUGAUUGGGAAUAUAAAAGAUCAUGGACGCUAAUAAUAAUAACCCGGCAAAAGUAUUUUGGGUCGGUGGUUUUGGGUCCAAUGAGUUAUUACAGGUUUGGGCUGUUAUAUUUUUCCUAAGAACGUUGAUAGGGGCCAAAGCCUUAUUGCUUACAUUAAAUAAGGUCCCAAUAACACUACAAGGAAAGAAAUAAAAGAACAAGCACUGGAGGGCCCACAAGGAAGUGUAUCCACUCAGAGAAGCAACAAAACAAAGGCAACAAAGAAGCAGGGCUAAACAUGAAGGUUAAUGGCUAAGUAAACUGCCAAAACAACAAGAACUAAGAGGAAAAGAGAAGAUGCUUCCAGAUAGUAACUACAGAACAAAUACCUAACACCAUAUUAAUUUACUAAAACCCACACAAAACAACAAAAAGAAAACCAGUAACAUAAAUGAACCAUCAACAGAGAAAUAUGCCUAAGUAUUUGUCAAUACGGGAACUAAAACCAACACAAAGAAAAAAAAAAAACAACUUAAAUAAAUGAGCAAUCUAAGGCUCUUUCGGUAUCGUUGCCAAUUUUUUUAUUUUUUCAACACUAGUUCUAUGUAAUUUGAUGUGUCGAAAAAAGGAUUUUUUUUUUUUCGUUGUUAUAGUUAGUUAGCUGAUUAUGCAUCCGAUCAAAUGGUAGAUAACUUAUUUUUAAAAAAAUCGAUAGCAAAAAAAAAAAUUUUAUUUUAAAAUUUUUAUUUUUGUUGUCUUGUAAAUAAUUCAUUGUCCACUCCUACAGCUUUUAAUAUACAAAAUUCUAUUUAUUGAAAAUAAAAAAAAAAAACAAACAUGACACAAAACGAGCCCUAAAUUCCACAGUUAAGAAAACAAGAAGAUGCGUAACGGCAUAACAUCUACACCACUAAUUUACUAAAACCAACAAAAAAAAAACAACUAAAAAGAAAAUCACUAGCAUAAAUGAAUGAUCUAAAUUCCUCAAUUAAGACAAAGAGAAGAUCUCUAAUAAUGCAGCAACUAUCUACACUAAACUAAUUUACUAAAACUAACACAAUUUUUUUUAAAAAAAAAAAGAUAAGAGGUUGUUUGGUUCCCCAGAAAAGUCCACGUGGUUUCCAGGGAAAAAAAAUUAUUCAAAAAAGUUUUUUUUUCCGAAUUUCAUAACAAUUUCUCCUUUUCGUUUUCUGAAUCUUUCAUCUGAAACACAAAAUCACUAUUUCUCCAUAAAGUUUGGAAAAGAAAAAAAAAUUCAACAAAAUUAUUACUCUCGGAACCAAUCAGAUAGAUGGAAAAAAAAUAUAUUUUUUAAAUUAUUUUUCGGAGUUUCUUAGAAAAGUAAAAAAAAAAACUAUUUCCUAAAUAAAGAAAAAGAUAAUAGAAAACAAAAUUACUAUUUUUUUAUAAAAUCUGAAAAAGAAAAAAAUUAUUGGAAGAACUAAUUUUUUUAAGAAAAAGACAAACGGAAAAUACUUUUUCCAUCCAGAAAAUUAUUUUUUGAAAAAAUUUCCUAAUUACGAAAUCCCUGAAUUAACAAUCUAAAUUCAUUUAUUAAGGGGAAAAAAAAAGGAAAAACGUGUUAAAACCACAAAACAACUAUCUAAACCACUAAUAAAACAACGACAAAACACCGACACGAUCAAUAAAUGAGCAAAACCCUAAACCCCUCAUCACCUUCUCCGCAUCCGAGCUUGGGCCCUCUGUAGCGCGUCCGCGUGCGUAUAAACUCCAGCAGCGUCGUCGACGGAUCCACCCCCGACACCUCGUACCUCUCCCCAUUAAUGGCGAACACCAGCCUCUCCACCCUCCUCCCCAUCUCCUCCUCCUCCUCCUCCUCCUCAAACAAACCCUAACAGACCCCGAAUCCCCAGCACCUGGGAUCUCCUCCUCCUCCUCCUCCUCCCCCAUUUUUAUACACGCACAAAGCGAUUCCAAUGUAGUGGGGGGUGGUGCGAUAGCGACAGGGUUAUUGUGGAUUCCCUUACCUCACCCUAUACCCUAAAAAAAUAAAAAAUAAAAUUAAAUAAAAAAAAAGGGAGAGGGGGAGGGGGGAGGGGCCUCGGGGGUCUCGGAGUACGACCCGCCACUGGAGAUGGAAAAAGGCGUCGUAUUUGAUCGGUAAAUUAUUAUUUUUAUUAUUUUUAUUAUUAUUAUUAUUUUUAUUAUUUUUAUCAAAUUAUAUUUUUAAAAUUUAAAUUUUAUUUAAUAUUUGGCCGAUCCAAAAAAUUCGAAUUACUAUUCAUUUUAAGUUAUUAGUAAAGAUCGCGUAACUUCUCUAUCCUAACUCGUUUUUUCCUGAAACUUAACGAAUACUUAUGUAAUUAAAUUACACAUAAAAAUAUCGUCAACAAAGAGUCUAGCUACACAGUCUAAUUCUUAGUCUUCACAGAUAAGAAUGAAGGACAACUUGCCAUAGGAAAUAAAAAGGUUACACACUGAUGAGAAUGCAUGACAACUUGUCACGUGGCAAAAAAAUAUUAGAAAUUUAUUUAUAUUAAUUAAUAAUAAUUAUCUUAUUAUUUGUUUUCUGUUUCCGUAGCGGUGGGAUGCGUGCGGCGUUGGGCGGCGAGAGUUUCCGCAUGAAAAUUCUUUGAAACGGUAAAUUACACUUUUGGUCCCCAAACUAUGAGUGCGUGACAAUGUGGUCCUCAUACUUUACUUUAUUUAUUUAUUUAUAAAUGAUUUAAAUCGAAUCUUAUAAAUUAUUGCGAGCGUGCCACGUUUGAAGCAGAAGAUUCGGUAGAAAAAUUUUCGAAAGAAUAUAAAUUUUACGUUCUCUAAUAUUUAAUUUACAGAAAAAAAAAGUGUUUUAUUAUAGAUAUUUGGUUUAAAAAAAAGACAAAUAAAUAUCUAUCAUAUGUAUUUUUUAUUUUAUAUAUUGUAUAUUAUUAAUUUAUAAUAAUUCUCCUACUACAUAUAUUACUAUUAUAAUUUAUAUUUGUAAAUUAAAUAUAUAAUUAUAUAAUAAAUUAAUAAAUAUAUAAAUAUAAUAUAUAUAAUAAUAGUAUGGAGUGGGGCGGUAUGUUUGUGUAAACAUGGAGCUUUCCGUGUUUUCAGGUCGCUUUCAAUAUUGGGAUUUUAAAAUCGAUUAUUAACUCCGUUAGACUUGAUUUAGGGUAUUUGAAGUACCUAAAAAAUAAAUUUCGUAAGUUUUCGAUAUCAUUUGUCUAAUAAUCGAAGGGGCUCAAAGUUAAUAAUUUUAAUAGUCAUUGUGUGUUUACAAGUUUAACAGUGUAAAAAUAUUCAAAUCAUAUGAAAUUUUGAUAGAAAAUUUUUAUACUAUAUAAAACAAAAUUAAUAUUUUUGAUCUAAAAUGUUAAUGUCAUAUUAUCAUAUUUUGUAAGAUUUUUAUUUUCAGUCGUUGAUUUUGAACCCGUUCGUUCACUAGACAAAUGAUAUGAAAAAAAUACGAAAUUUAUUUUCUAGGUACUUUAAAUACCCUAGAUCAAGUAUAACCGAACUGAUCGUCGAUUCGAAAGUUCCAACAUCGAAAACGACUAGAAAGCACAGAAGACUCUGUACUUUCAGAAACAUACCAGCUUCACUCAAUAGUAUAUAUAUAAUAUUAUAUAAUAAAAAUAUAAAAUAUAUAUAUAAUAAUUUUAAUAUAUAAAAUAUAUCAAGGCUAAUGCUACUAGACUAGCUCUUAUGAAUAUAGAUUACUUUGUACUCAUAAAUUUUCGACCGUUGGAUAAAAGAAUAUGCAGUUAGAAUGACAGUAAUCCUUAAUUAGGAUGAUAAUUGUCUCUUAGAGUUGAGUGGGUCGUUGGUUGAAUAGUAUAAUAUAAUAAUUUAAAAUAAUCAAAAAGAUAAACUUAAUAACCUAAAAUUUAUAAGUACUGUACUCAUAAAAAAUAUAGUAACUGCACUCAUACAUCAAAACAUAAAAUAAAUAUAAUAUAGUCCAGUGUGGACCACUCACGCGGUCCAAUAACUCACACGUAAGCUCGUGGACCGCGCGAUGUGUGAGCACUUUUCCUCUUCACUUUUCGUUUUCCGCCAAAAAAACGAAAACUUUUUUUUUCCUUCAAAUUUGUUAAAAACAAAUUUGUAAAUAUUAUUUUACGCGAAACCAAACUCUAGGCUACCGUUUGGUUCGGGAUUAAGAAAAAGCUAGUUAUUUUAGGGAUAAAAUUAAAUUCAGAGUUAAUGUAGAAUUAGAGUAAUUUUUAGGUCCAUUUUUUUUUUCAACAAGCUUUAUGUGAAAUCAAAUACAUCCUUAGGUAAAUUACAUUUUUGGUCCACUAAGUAUGAGUGACUCAUAUUUUGACUCUCAAAAUUUUAACUUAUAAUAAUUUUAUUUUCGAAUAUUUUAAAUUAUUACAAUUAAGUCACUCAAUUUAAUUUUGGCCGAUUAAAAUCCUAUUUUGAUGUAUGAAUAUCUUAUUUAGUAUAUUUUUUAUUACAAAUAAUAUUUAAUAAAUAAGAAUUUAGAAUUAAAUAGCAAACUCGGCUUUCAAAUUAUUUUUUCGAAUAAAAUAAAUCAUCUCGUAUGUGAAAUAUAUUAUUCUAUUAAAUCAAGAAUAACAAAAUCUUUAAGAAAGAAAAUAAAAAUCAAACUUUCUAAUUACUAUUGUACUAUAGGAAUUUUUAUACCGUUGCGUCGCUAAUGUGAAAAUGGUGUAGCAGUAUUAUAACUGAUGACAUAAUAAAGAUUAAGAUAUGAAGUUAGUUUUAUGUAGACCUGACAAUUUUUAUCCAUACGCAAGUACCUACGGGUUAUUCGUAAAUUUGCGGGCAUAGGUAUUAGUUUUUUUUAUCCAAAAAAUUAUGGUUAAAACGGGUGAGUAUCCUUGAGUGGUAGGUAUUUUUGUACAACCCGCGGGUACCCACAGGUAACCGCAUAUAUAUUUUUUAAAUUUAAAAAAAAAUGUAAUUUUUAUAAUAUUGACUCUAUAAUGACAAACAUUUUAUUAACUUUGUAUCAUGAAAAUUUGGAAUGUUAAAAUAAUUUUAUAUUAUGUAAUGUAUAUAUCUUUAAGAUUUUAUAUUGUUUAUUAUAUGCUAUGAUAUUUCAAAUAAAAAAUUAUGUUAUGUUUUUAAAAAUUUUAUAUAUAUGUUUUGCAUUUGAAAAAGGAGUCCGGCUACUAUACUAUUGGUAGCACGGGGCCUCCCGUGCUACCAAGUUGUUUUCGAUGAUGCGCCUUCCAAAUCGACGAUCGGCUCCGUUAGACUUGAUCUGCACUAUUAAAAGUAUUUGGAAACUAAAUUUCAUAAUUUUUCGAUAUCAUUUACUUAUCAAACAAAUAGUCUAAAAUUGAACGGCUGAAAAUAAAAAUCUCAUAAAAAAUGAUGAUAAAAAAUUUAAAUUCAAGAUCAGAUAUACUGAUCUUACUCUAAAUAGUGAAAAGAAUUUUCUAUAAAAUUUUCAUCGGAUUUGGAUUGUUUUACACCGUUAAACUCACAAACACGCCACAUCGGCCAUUAAAAUGGUCAAUUUUGAGAUCUUUUGAUCACUAAAUGAUGUCCGAAAAAUUAUGAAAUUUAAUUUCCAAAUACUUUUAAUAGUGUAGAUCAAGUCUAACGGAGCUGAUCGUCAAUUUGGAAGCCGCAUCAUCGAAAACAACUUGGUAGCACGGGAGGUCCCGUGCUACUGAUAGUAUAGCAGCUGGACUCUUUGAAAAAGUACAUGAGUAAUAAUAAUAAAAAAAAAAUUUGUGGGUAACCCGCAUACCCACGUGGGCGAGUAUAGAUAAAGAUAUUGAUUAUCUAAAAAUUUAUGAACAAAUUUUAUCCAUACCCAUAUGCUUCACGGGUACAGUUACUUACUUGCGAGUUACCCAACUUGUCCAUUUGCCAAAUCUUGUUCUAUGUCAAUAAUGCAUGGAUAUAUAAUUAGCUAAAUUUGAUCAUAAAAUUUUAUUACAAUAAUUUAAAAUGUGCUAUCUAAAAAUUUAUUAUAAAUUAAAAUUUGAAGACUAAAGUGAUGUGGCGCUUCAUAGUUUGGGAAUGUAAAGUAUAACUUAGCCUUUUAAAAAAUGAAAUACUAAAAAAUAAAAUAAAAAUAAUUAAAAAAAAGGAGAGGUUGGACUGAGAAGGAUUAUAGAAUAACAAAUUUUUUUGGACUUCUAUUAAAAAAAAGAAUGUACAAAGACCCCCUCAACUAUAGGAAAUUUUAAAAUAGGACUACCAACUUUUAUUUUUGUAAGUAUUUAUAAUAAGAAUGUAUGGUCUUAUACAACAAUAUGGCUGUUCUAAUUUAGCGAUCCAAAUAUUUGGUUUUUUCAAUUUUUUAAAAAAAUCUCAAUUUUUAUUUAAACAAAAAACUAAUCUAAUUUUUAUUUUUUUUAGAAGUUGUAUUUAUUCAGAUGUAAGUAAGAACAAUUUAUUUUUACACCAAAUGGUAUCUAAAAAUCUAAAACGUACCCUAAAUUCGAAGAACUCUAUUAUUCUAAAGGACCAUUUGGUUCCUUGAAAAAAUAAAAAAAAAAAAGAAAAAAUUUCAUAAAAAAACUUUUUUAAAGGUUUUUCUUUCGUUUGUUUACAAAAAAUAUAAAAUUUUCAAAAACUUUUCUCUAAAUUUUAUUUAAAAAGUUACUUUUUUUUUGUUUUUUGAAAGCGUUUUAGAAAAAGGAAAAUUAGUUUUCUAUAAAAACUAAUAUUUUUGCUUCAAACGGACAAAAUUUUUUUUUUUUAAAAAAAUCGUCCAAUUUUUUAGAAUUUCUUUUUAACACCUGGGGAAUUUUAAGAAAUGUGACCACUAAUUUGGUUGUGACAUGGACUAAUUAAUGGAGUGUUGAAAAUGAAAACAAUAGUACUUAUGUACAAGUCGAUAAGCUAUAAAAUUUAAAAAAAUAAUAAUAAAUAAAUUAAAAAAAGGGAUUUAACACGUCAUACGUGACACACACAUGGUACGAAAAAAAGGGUCAACAUAAAAGGUCACAUUACUUAGUUUGAAAUUUAAUAUAUUUGUAAUGCAUACGUUGAUCUAUGAAUAAGACUAUACGAAUGAGCCUUUUUGCUUAAAACAAAUAAAUAAAUAAAUCAAGCUACGUGCACCAUGUUCCCAUUAAAUAUUUUACAUUGAUAAGUUAAAGUAAGAAACAAUAGAUAAAAAUUUAAUCAAUUUAAUAAGUGGGUGAGGAGGCAUUUGGAUUAGUAAAGUUGUGAUUUCGUCGUAAAUUAAAUUUGUUCAUAGAUCAACUAUUAGUUUUGUAAACAUGUAUAAAACUUAUCUGAAGUUCUGAACUAUGAAUCAUUUACAUUGAUAAGUUAAAGUAAGAAACAAUAGAUAAAAAUUUAAUCAAUUUAAUAAGUGGGUGAGGAGGCAUUUGGAUUAGUAAAGUUGUGAUUUCGUCGUAAAUUAAAUUUGUUCAUAAUCGAAAUAUUAGUUUUGUAAACAUGUAUAAAACUUAUCUGAAGUUCUGAACUAUGAAUCAUUUUGAUUUGAUUAUUCAAUAUUUUAAAAUUUUAUUUUUAUUAUUUAACUUUUAAAUUUGUUCGAUUUACGUUAGUUUAUGAUAUUUUAUUUUUAAGAUUUAAACAUAUUAUUUAUUUUUACAGAUUUAACUAAUAUAUUUAUAUAAUUCUCUUAAUUUUAAAUUCAUUCGAGUAAAAUAGCAUUGUGUCAAAGCUAGAGACAAAAAUAAAAUAAAAUAAAAUGCGCGUCACUGAUGACACACGAGAAAGUUGAAUGAAUUGGCUUUGAAAGCAAGAGCAUUAAUUAAUUGGAGUUAGGACGCAGAUAUAUUUUUUUUAUAAAAAUAUAUAAAAAUUUAUCUUAAUUAUGAACUAAUUUAAUUUUUUAAAAUUUUAAUUUUACCAUUCAAUCUUUCAAUUUGUUUAAUUUGAGCCCGUCAACGAUUCUUUUAUUUCGAAAUUUAAAUGCGCUGUUGUUUUUGAAUAUUUGAUUAAUAUACUUCAUGUAAUUCUCGCAAUAAUAAUUUUAUUAAGCUAAAUAAUUACCUUAAAUUUUAACAUUAAAAUAUUUUUAACCGGCUCAAAACAAAUAAAUUAAGAAGUUGAAUAGUAAAAUUAAAACUUUUAAAAAUUAAAUAGCCAAAUUAAAAUAAUUUAUAAUUAAUAUAAGCACCGUACAUUUUUUCUUUAAUAGGUGACAGUAACAAACAUAUGGGGCGACUUUUCAUUUGUUGAACCCAUAUUCCUUUUCUUUGUGUUGUUUUCCCAACUAAUACUGAUUAGGAUCCAUUUAGUUCAACCAAAAAUAGUGAAAAAUAAUUUUUUGUUAAAAAAAUUCAAUAGAAAAAAUAUUUUACGUUUUGUAAUGUUUGAUUUGUAAGAAACAAAAUAGUUUUUCAUUAAUAUUUGUUUGGUUGGAAGAAAAAAAAUCCACAUUUAUUUAGUUUAGUAGAAAAAAUAAAUGAAAAAAAUUUUACGCAGCUUGAGUUUUUAUUUUCUACUGAAAAAUAGCUAAGAUUGAAAACUUCAAUAUUUUUCAAAUGGGUAAUAGUAUUUUUACGAAAAAUAUUUUUACUUAGAAUUAAACAAGCGAAAAAAUAUUUUUCAUACGAAAAAUAAUUUUUCGUUCUUUUUACGUGGAACGAAAUGCCCCCUUAGCGUACUUGGAUGGUAUUUCGGCCAACGGUUUCUUUAGUUUGAAAUAUUUUCUUAGGAGUGUUUUGAAUAUAAAUAUUUAAACAAAAUCACUCUUUGAUGGCUUAAAAAUUUUCGGAGAAAAUAGUUAUUUUAUAUUCUUUAAAAUAACAUCAUAAUCAUAAGAUACUGAGUUCUUGUUUCAUAUUAGAAAAUAUACAUGAAAUCGUUUUUUAAAGCUGGAAGAAUUAUUUUUCUGCUAUUUGGUUUUUAAGAAAAAUAGUUUGUUUAUUUUUUUUUCAGAUUUUAAGGGUAAUUGUAUGUUUUUUUUUUUUAUCUAAGAGAAAAAAAAAUAUGAAAAAAAAAGUUUUUUUAUGAAAAUUUUUUUAUUAGAAAAUAAUAAAAAUAAAAUAAAAAAACCGCAAAUAGAACAAAGUUGGAGGGGUUAUUUCAAAAUGUCCUAUAGUUGAGGGGGUCUCUGUAUAUUGUUAAUUAGAAUUUUAAAUUAUCUUUUCUUUUUAUUUCCUUUUCCGGAUGUGUAGUUCAAAGAAGCUGGGCAUAGAGCAUGUAUUUUCCUGAGGUGUGGUAUGUGAUCUUUAUUUAUUUUCUAUUAUUGACUCUGCAUUUAUUCUAUCUCAUUUUCGAUAUAUUUGGCUUUUGGGUAUAUCCCUGUUUCCUAAAAAAAAAAAAAAAAAAUAUAUUUGGCUUUUAAUUUCAUUGGUGAAUGAAGCAAAUGGCACAUGAAACUUAAUUCAAGGGCCAUUUUGUCAUCAUCAUGAGUUUUCACUGUGAACUUAUGGAUACAUGUUACAGGUUUUUAUUUGCAGGUUCUGCUCAUUAUUUUCUUAAAAUUUUGCGAUGUUACUAACAUAUAAUUUGUUAAAUAGUGUGAAAUAAUUUUUUUUAUCUCUAAACACUUGGGCAAUUAGAGAACGGUAUUUUUAUAUUUUUAUAUUUUUACAUUCAACACUCCUCAUCGCGUCUUGGCUCGAAACUUCUGACGUCUGGAUUCGAAUUUUUUUUUGAUUAAAUAUAAAAAAAAUAAAUAAUACGAGGAGAGUGGUGGAACUGGAACUUCAGGAAUAAAAUAAAUGUUUGUCUCCAAAAACUUUAGAAAAGCUUAAGCUAUCACAUAACAGUGUUUAUAUAUUUUUAUAUUCAACAUAAUUAAGCAAUGUUUUAAGGACCCUUUGGCGAAUUGCAUCUAGCUUUUCUUUAUUCAUGCUUCAAGGAUCCAGGAAACAUAAUAUAGAAUACACACAAAGGGCAAAAGCAACCAACAAUGUGGAUACAUCAGUAACUUAUUCAUGCUACAAACUCCAGUAAAUCUUCUUAGGCUCACAAAACAACACAACAUGAACUUGUUAUCUCGGCAUACGAAGUAGUUAUCUGGAAAAGCACUUUGACAGAAACGCUAUGCGCGUAAUAGAACGCGGGAUAGAUUUGCGACUACAAGUCAUGCUUUCACUGAUCGACGAGCAGAGAUGCUUUCCAAGUACUUGUCAACAUUGUCGAGCCCGCACAGCUCCUUGACCACGGGCAUUGUUGCGGGAACCGCUAGUUCGAAUAUUGAGGGAGAGUUUUCGGACCCAGUCGUGGAAACAUGCACUUUUCUAGCAGCUCUGAUGGCUUGUCUUAUCGCGCAGUGGACUGAAGCAGCAAGAACUAAAGGCGGCUCCCCAGAAGCUGUAUAAGAAAAUGAUAGUAAGCAUGCCGUUCAUUACAUAAUGAGAAAAGAAAGAAAAUUUAAAACUCAGAUCCUAUUAUGUCAAGGUUUUUUUUCUAUUACUAUUGUUUUUUAGAAACUUUGUAUGGGCCGGGCCCUUUAAGCUCCAUUCAAUCGAAAUAACAUUGUUAUGUCAAUUCUUACAGCAGCGUUUUUUUUCUGUUGAUUGGAAUCAUCUUAAUCACACGGUUGAAGAAUGAAAAAAAUGUUGGUGCUAUAAUACCUCGGAAAUGGAAGUCUCAAUGAAAGGUUUAGCGCCGUCUAUGGAAUGGAAAUAAUUUAUAACAGUCCCUUGCAACUCUUUAAGUUAACAGUUUAACGACAAAUUUAGUCCGCUAAGAUCAAACCUGGUUCCAUUUACAUCCUUUAAAUUUCAAUUUUAAUAAUUUACUUUACCUUAAUUGCCUGUAACAGCUAAGACCUUCGACUGGUCGACUGAGUACUGAUUAGAAAAAGUUCGCCCUAUCCGUCUACUUAAUGUAAUUCAUCUAUAACUAAAAGUUUAGAUGUUAACAAGUACGACAUGAUGUUAUAUGCACUUUUCUAAGCUGAACGAAAAAGCCAAAACUGGCAAACAAUCAACAAUACCUUUCGAAGAGAGCACACGCUUCUGGUGAUGUCCGCUGUUAAAGAAUUCAACGUUAAGCUGUUUCGGAAUGGUAUCGACGGUAGGUGGUUUGUAUGUCCAAGUGCCAUCAGUGAGCACUACGCCAUCCGAAUUUGACAAGUGCUCCUCGUUCACGAAAAAGCCAAUUCCUUGAACAAAAGCACCUUCAACCUGAAGGAAACAGAAGAAGAGCAGCAGACAAGGAGCACUUUGGUAAAUACAGAUGUCACUAGAUAAUUUUCAAAGGAUUAGUAGCAAAUUUUGAUGGAUAAAGAAAACACCAAUAUCCACUUUACAGUAGCGCAUAUAAUCUUCACUUGAAAACAUACUCAGCACUUUCAGCCUGUUUGGCCCAGCCCCCAGCCGGAGCUUCUGAAAAAAUGUUGUUUGAGUAGAAGUGCUGUAAAAGCACAAAGAGCUAUUUCACCCUAAUACCCUUUCACUGCGGCAGCAGAAGAAGCUUCAGGAGGCCAAGCCAAACAGAAUUGAAACUUCUACUUUUCAGGUCCAAAAACUCAUUUCAGGGAAACAUGUGAAAAAUCGAACUCCAAUUGGAAGCCCAUUUUGAUGUUUAGUUAUGGAAUUACAGGGGAGCUACUGGCAAUUAAAAGUGAUCUCAGAACCCAAAUAGCAUUCGUAUUGUGUGCCGAACCUGUCCCACAUCCACAGCAGGGUUUAAGCUUUUGCCACAGUCGUACAAAAUAUCACUCCUUAAAAUCGUGGUAGCUCCUGUAAGAAGAUCGAUCUCCACCUGACAAUGCAUACAACUUUUGUGAUGAGAUUGAUAUUUGAUGUAGAUGAGAGAAAUAGUAAGAGCGUUUCUUUAAAGAAAAAGGAUACAUAAUAAGAGAAUAUGCGCACAUCAAUGAAAAUGGUUAUUACACAGUACGUAUGUACCUCACUUAGAGCAGCUCCAUAGUUUAAAUAGCUUUUAAAUGUGCGAUCAGGGACCCAGUAGGUGCUUGCUGAUAGAUUAACACUUUCCAUACUUGCCUGCCAUGAGGCAAUAGAAAUAUAAACCAUAAAAUAUAUAAGUUUUUUCUUUUGGGAUAAUAAAUCUAUGAUAUGGAGCAAUUGGAACACUUUUGAGUUAUGAGUUCAUAUAAUUCUAAAAGCACAAAAAAAAAUAUUUGAACAAUGGCCUUAUACUACCAAAGUCAAGUUAAAACAACCAUCCAAGACCUAUCACUAGAAGAAUAGACAAAGAUUGAAGAAGACUCCAACUGCUGCGAAAGAAAGUGCAGAAAAUUGAUACAUGUUAAAUAUAAAAAUAUAUAAACACUGUUCUCUAACAGCUUAAGCUUUUAGAGUAUAAUGGUUAUUUUAUAUGGUAUCAGAGCAGGAGGUCCUGACUUCGAAUCACGCCAAACUCCUAGCAUUAUUAAUUUUCUGCCAUUUAAUUCAAGUCCACAUCAUGGGCCUUGCAAAAAGUUUCGAGCCCAGACGUGAGAGAGUGUUAGAUACAAAAAUAUAUAAACACUGUUCUCUAACAGCUUAAGCUUUUAGAGUACAACGGUUGUUUCACAACACACAAAAAAUAGACUACACAAAACUGCAAGAGACAUGUGCACAUACAGCAUUCAAAUAUAAUACAACUAUGUUUUUUUUUAUAAUAUACCCCUGCAAAUACACAAAGCUGCACAAACACCUCUGUAAAGUUGAUACUAGUUGGGAUGCCGCUGAAAACCUCACUUCUUUGCAUGCGUGCCUCUGGCAGGGUGCAAAAGCAGCUUAUGCAUAUAUAAGCUGGCAGAGGCACAAAUGCAAACACAUAUGGUUUCUGAGGCACGCAGGGAAACACCAACAUUUCAAAGGCGUCUAUGCAAUUUUGCAUUGUUGAAGGGGUAUAUACAAAAUAAACCUUUAAAUAUACUAUAAAAUCAUAAUGGUUACCUGAGCUAUUAAAGUACCCCAUGAAACAGAGCCCCCUAGUUCUUGCAGCCUUUCCUUGAGGGGCAUUAAUCUCUCAACCAAAAUACCACACGACAAACGAACUGCUUCGCAGCUUGAUUCAGAUGUGGUGCUCCCAGCAGUCAGUCCUCCUUGAAUUAAACUUAUAGUAUCGGCCUGAACAACCCGAACCUUCUCUAGAAGGUUCAUGCUCCCAUCCUCCCACAACUUCCCUAGACCGAAUGCUGCCAUCUGCUUCACUUUAGUCCACAACCCUUGUCCUAUUUCAAUUCCUCCAACCUCAACAACGACCGAACCAUCAUUUAAAACUGAAACUUUCCCAGGUGUUGGCCUUAAUGUCACUUCAUACACAGUGGGCAUACACGAAAUACCCCGUUUUUUCCAUUUAUUGGCGCAAUUGAAGUUUUUAAUCAUUUCAACAUGCUGCUGAUAGGUUGGAGAUAACACCAGCUCAUCGAACACAGAAGGUAAAGAAUAUGAAGAAGCUUCUCCAAAGUUACCUUGAUAAUACAACGUGAGACUCUCAAAGGUGUGAAGAUUCUUUCUCCGGAUAUAAUUGGCAUCAAGAGAGAGAAUUGAAGCCACAUGUUCGAUAAUAGCUUCAGCAAUAUAGGACCCUUGUAAAUGUCCAGGAGCCCGCAUUGCUGACUUGGAUAUGAGAUUUGUUUUGCACAAUUUCACAUCACAAGAAAAAGCACCCCAAUUGUAUCCUUUUAGACUGCUUAUAAUACACUUGGGUAAUAAUGGGCUAAAAUCUUCUGAUAUUCCUGCAUUAAUUCUCAGAUCAAUGUGCAAAGCUGUGAGUUUCCCCUCAGAUUUGAAUCCCACAGAGUACUUCACUUUCAUUGGAUGUCGCGCGCCUACCAUUAUCAUAUCGGUUUUGCGGUCCAUGUACAUUCGAACAGGGCGGCGCAGUUUAUAUGCUGCGAGUGCACAUGCAGCAGCAACCUGACAACAGAAUAUUUCAAAUCAGUAGUUGCUUGAUUUUUUCAUAUCUUUAGCUGAUUCAGAGAAAGCUUUCUGCCCAUAAGUAGAAAGUCGCCCCAUAUCAAACUUCAAACACCAUAGGUGAAGAGUGAAUGAUUUAUGUUCAUUAGGCACUUGGUGCCUGUUUAGCCUGGUUGGAGCUUCUAUAGAAAUGUUGAUUGAGCAAAGUUGCUCAGAGUGGCCUUAAUAACAUUUUCCAUUAGAAAUCAUCCAACAACUUUCUGCUGAAGGAGCAGAAACUACAAAUUUGGAGAUUCUGCUUUUGGGUGCUCAUUUAAGCUACUCACCACAGUGUAAGUUCCAAAUUUUUGGUUUGUCAACCGCCUCACUGCAACUUUUUCUCAUUACAUAAGCUAAUUCAGAAGCAGGGACAAAAAGGCACUUAUUGAAGAAUUUUCACAGAUUUUGAGAACUCUAUCUGAAACUAUAAAAAAUACAAAGUCAUAUAUCUAAAGUCAAAGAACAACACUAGUGCAACAUAUCGCAAUUCACUUCUUUUGCACAGUUAAUCUAACUGACAAUUGAUACAAGCAGGGCUACAAAGAUCGCAUACGUUAUUUAAUUAAUUCAAGAAUUCAUAAAUCACACAUUACCAAAUAUAUUAUUCAUUAUCUAUUUAUUAUUCUUAUUCUAAAAGGAAGGGAAAUAAUAAUUAAUUAUGGAUUUUUUUUAAAAAAAAAUCAUCAUAUUUUUACAUUAUUACCAAACAAGUUCCAGAUUUCUUUCAAGCUCACGGAGUUUUUUACCAAAUUCUCAGCUUUUCUGCUUUAACGAAUUGAUCCCGAACACCAAAUUUGUGACUAUGGCCAUAAGAAUACUUCAUAAGCAACCUUGACUCAUGAGUUGUUGCUUGCCUACCUAUCAGAUAUCUGAUUAGAUAAAUCCUCUCGUAGACUUUUCUACAAUGGGAUCUUUAUCGUCGAAAGGCUAUUAUUUGAUGCAUAAAGAGAAAGUGUCAAACAAUUUUUCAGUCAUAGCUGCCAUCUGCUAAAAAAUAUAAGAAACAAAUGCAACUAAAUUUUCGUGGUGAGAGAGAGAGAGAGAGAGACUCACAGUAAUUGCUUUGGAUGUCUUCCCACCAAAACCUCCUCCAACUCUUCUUGUAAUAACACGGACAUUGUGGAAGGGGAUGCCAAGGCACUUUGCAAUCACACUCUGCGUAAGCUCAGUGUACUGAGUUGAACAGUAAACCACCAUGCAAUUAUCUUCAUCUGGAAGAGCUAGAGCUGUUUGUGUCUCCAUGUAAAAAUAAUACUGUGAACCAAGAUUUACCUGGGCAAAAAACAACAACAUAAUAAUUAACUAUCGACAUAUUGGGUGCAAGAUAAAAAGAACUAAAAGCAAGUUGAUCAGAAGAAACUCAACUACUGAGUGAAAUUUGCCGGUGCAAUUCACAACGAUAACAAUAUUCAACUGAAAGAGAUGGAGUCAAUCACUCACCAAAAGACAAAGUAUUGUUGGCUCAGUAAUAAAACUAGUGAUGCAUUAUUCUUCUGAACUUCUCAUUAAACUAGUUUUGUUUGAAUUACUCCAGAAUGAUAACAGAAACAAAAAGAAGCUAUUUUAAGAUCAAACAAGAGCGAAGCAACACAUCAAUUUUAGAGUAGUGCUUCUUUAUGAUCAAGGACCAUAUGUAGAAGCAAUUAGAUUGCUUUACUUCCAAAAUGGUUUCUACUGAAAUAGAUAGCCUAAGUUUGCAGUACAUCAACGGUUAUCUCGCAUUCAAUAUCGAUUUUGAGCUAUUAAAUUAUGGUUAGAUGUCAACAAAAAUGGAUAUUGAAAAGCACCUCGCCUGAUUGAAUUGUUCGAUCAGCUUCUGCCAUUCCUUUGGAGAAAUCACCUACUGGUUUAGGAUUAAGAGGAGGUGGAAUUUGGAAAUAACUUUCUCGUCUAAUUGCAUCUUCUACAGUUAAAAUUGGUGGUUCCAAAUUUUCCAUGUCAUAGUCAACAAUAGCCUGCUUAGCAGCUAUGUUGGCGAAUCUCUGAGUCUCUGCAAUCUGAAAGGACACAGUCUAUGUCAGCCAUAACAACAGAAGUAGCAUUUAGCCAGAAAGAAGGAUUCAGAUGACAAAAGAAAAAAGGUUACCCACUAUUACAUUGGCAUUUGAAAUAAAAACAUAACUAGAUAAGGGCAUUUGCAUAAUCAUCUAUUCAUGUAUAUACCUCUGUGAAAUCUUAAUUUUCAUACAUACCCUGCGAAAGUAUAAUUUCUUACAAGGGUCAUCCAAUUUCACGGGAAGAAGUUGGUUUCCUAUUAGAAAAAGUUCUCUAAGCCGAGCAUUACCGUAAGUAGUCAGGUAUGUUUUCGAAGGGCAUAUACAGCAAUUCAUAUUUUACGGAACAAACAGGUUAUUAGAUAACCUUGUACGGGUGGUAGAGAUGUCAAUAUCUCGAAAAAAAUAAUAAGAUAAAGAAAGAGAUACCAAAAUGCCUAGUGGUUCUCCAGCAUACUCAGUAAGCAAAUCAGCAAACAGCCGUUCCGAUCCAAACAUAAAGAUUGAUCCAAUGUUUUCUCCACCGCUUGGAAUGUCUUUAGCAGUGAAAACACUAACAAUUUUCUCUGAUGCUAGAGAAUUGUUAAACUUGAUGCCUCUUACGUGAGCAAGGGCUCUCGUGCUGUAGAUAAAAGCUCCAUAGAGACAGUCCUUUGGAGCAGGAAUAUCAUCCACAUAUACAGCUUCACCUGCAUAACUUAAUCACAUAAGUAGUGCUAAUGAGGAGACAUUUCACUUCAAUGAAUUCUGAAGGUGUCAGAUAGAAACAUUUAUGCACAAAACAUUGCUUGUCAAAUGAUAUGGCCAGGCAAGACAUGAGGCUGGGAUUUCAAACCAGGCCUUUAUAUUUAGAUUGAAUGUUGGUGGUUUGUCCGAUAUGUUCCGACAACAUCAUAGAGGUUUCCUUAUGUAGCCUUAUUAUAGCCAAACCAUAACAUUGCUCCACUGAUAUCCAUAACGGAGAAACAAUAUGAGGGACUACCAUGUAAACAACAAGAAUUCCAGGAGUUAUAUGCAAUAUUCAAAGAUUUAAAGAACUAAUAAGCAAGAAAUCCUAACAAAAUGAAGAUCCUCAAAGAUGCAAGGAGAUACCAGAAGCUUGGAUUUCUGCUCCAGCUUUCUUUGUUGGCUCCCCAACAGGGAGAUAGCCUUUGCCGAACUCCACCUCCUGCUGUGAAGAAAAAUGCAAAUCAUCGUGAUCAAGAUUUACAAUAUUUGAUGUCAUAUUGUUUUCACAGUUGUUGACACCGCCAUCUGAGUAUUUAGCACUAUCACCAUUAGAUAGAACAGUCUUCCUGGGCUCUGUCAAUUCUUUAGCGAGCGGGCAGAGAAAGCUGAAUAGGAAACUAACAGCCAAACUUGUUCUAUAUUCAGGAUGCGACGUGCCUUUUGAAGCAACAACUGUUUCUCUAAGCAAUCCGAAUGCUUCAAGCAGAACAGAUGCAGUGACGGCUCUACCCACUAGAAAUUCCUCAACUUUCCUUGCCCUAGUGGCAUGUUGGGUUCCAUAUGCACCAAAAGCCAAUUGUAUUUUAUCCAAAACAAAACCAUCUGAUUCUUUACAUUGAGAAAUCUGCGCUAGAAAUGCACAAUUGAGAUAAGCCACAGCAUUGCCGAUGGGUCGAGGGGCUGCUCUGUAUGUUUCAAAAAGCAGGUCAGUCCCUGCUAUACUCCAAGAAGGGAUAAAUAUGCUCAAAAGUAGGGUUUUAUAAUCAAAUGGAGGCCUCACCAAAAAUUCUUCCAGCGUAAGAGUUACCCUCUCUGAAGAUGUUUGGAUACAAACAGUAGAACCGGCUGCGAGAAGUAUUGUGACUAUGUCUGAGGCGAAUUCAGAUCUUUGAGCCAUCAUUAUAUUUCCUCCUAAGCUGGCUGUAUUUCGAACAAAUGGCGAGGCCACCUUAUUCAUGUGAUCAGCGAUUUUCUUGAAGAUCACUGCUCCAUUAUUCUCUUCUCUAAGCACUUCGAUGGCUGUAGAAAUUGUCACAGCUGCUCCAAAUUCGAUGCCUAUGUUAUCCUUUUUGAUAACUGAAAGCUCAGGAAUCGCUUGGAGGUCAAUAUAUUUAUCAUACAAGUCCGUAUCUUUAUAAACACCAGAACUAGUGUUCCCCACUACCAAUUUGACUUUUCUUUCGUCAAAUGCAUUAGAAUUCAGUAACUUAUAAAGUUCUUCAACACUAUCAGGGCGAUACCAGCCCUUUUCGAUGGAUGUAAGCUUAGCUUCAUUCGAAACACCUGAUGAGGAUCUGAUCUCGGUUUUUAAAAAUUCUGGGAAGGUGCAGACUCCGCCGGAAGAAUAGCGGGGCAACUUGGUAGUUUUCAAAUCCUUAUCCCCUUUCUUCCAAAAAGAAUUCAAGCCCAAGUCUUCCAAAUCCACAUCAGUUGCGAAACUCUUGCAAGCAUCUAGAAUGGGUCGGUAACCGGUACAUCGACACAAAUUGCCUUGAAUAGCUCUUGCCGCCUCAGAGACUGUGAGCUUUGAGAACCCGUCUGGCGGCUCAGGUCUAUCGGUUUUUUUAUCUGCAUUAACAAGGGCGGAGAAAAGGGACAUGCACAUCCCGGGGGUACAAAAACCGCACUGCGAGGCAUGAAAGCCGGCCAUCCUUUGGUGAAUCGAAUGGAAGCCAUCCUUAACAUUUCCAAGACCCUCGGUGGUUGUAAUUGAGUAGAAAUUUAUACUGCAAAGGAGCGUAAGGCAUGAACUUGCAGAAAAUUCUUCAACUAGGUCGGCGAUGGGAUCAUAUUUUGACAGAAAAACAACACAAGCUCCACAGCCACCUGCAGCAGGGUCAAGAACUGAUGAAUAAUUCACAAGCAUUUCUACAUUUCACUAAAUAAAAAAAAAAAAACAAUAGCAACAGACAUUUAUGUAAACAACAAAAGAGGGAUAAAUCGAGUGGAAGUAAUGUUUAUCCAACAAAAUUGGGGUCUAAAGAGAAAAACAGUAAGCAGAUAAGUUAAACAAGCAAAACAGUCUAAUGGAAGGAUGAAAAGAUGAUGAUAGGUAGAAGCACAGAAGCAUAGGAGAAAGACGACACGCAACCCAUAGGCAUUUCAAUGCUAUAUAGAUACUGAGGGAACCUCGACUUUACCAUUUCCUAGAAAAAGUGGAAUAGAUAUCCACGGCCGAGGAACCUCCCCUUAACCCAUUUCAAGAGUAAAACUUUGUCAUAACUUAUAAUCAUCUUAAAACUUCAUUUAGACACAGUAUAUAGGCAUUAAGGUCUGAAGAAAAGAUGUUCGCUCUUUUUAAGUCUAAUAUUCCCUCCCAUCUAUGAGUUUGGUUUUGCUCAUAACUUGAACUGAAUUUGGUGAUGUUUUGUUUACAAUACAAAAAUUGUCGUAUAGAUAUCCAUAUAAUUUAGUACGAGUACAAACAAAGCAUAAAAUUACAUGAAAAACAUAUACGCAAUUGAAUAGUCAUGUGAUAUAUAAAUAGAGACUAUAACUCAAAAAAUAUAUAUAAAUAGGCUGAAAAUAAAAUGAGCGAUAACACUAAUCCAGGGGUUUUCUGCAACAGCAUUUUAUGGAUUUAAGUUAUCCUAGAAAAACAGGAUCGACCACCACAUGAACCCCUUAAAUUUUUGUCUAACUUCGCAAAAACAAAGAAGACACAUUGAGCUAUCGCUAGUUAUUCGUUCAUUCCCCAACCAAGCAGUAAAGAUUAUUCAGCUCUUAAUCAUGUUAUGCCCCACAUACAGUAUGGUUGAAAAUGCAACAUAAUUUUAAAUUCCUUAGAAAUCAGAUAUAAAAUAUGACCUCCAAAAACUCUUCUCUAUAAGUAUGUAAGUGGUGAUUUCACAGAAGAAUAUUAGCUUUUUUUUUCCCCCCUCAACAGCCCUGAUUACUGAUUACUGUAAACCAACGACAUUUCUAACAAACAUGUUGUAAACUGCACAAAUAUGAUAAUCAUAAUCAUCUAUUGUCUCCUAGACUCAGAUUAUGAAAUCCAGUAACUGGAUGAUUAACCUCCAACCCCUUCACUAGAUAUCACAUUGCACGAAUAUCCGAUAUCACGCCACGCAUUUUAUUUAUGCCUAUUCUACUUGCUUCUGCUUCUGCUUCUGCUUUCAGCUGCAGUAGUCUCCAGUAUGAUCGGAGCUUCUGCUACAGCUGAAAAGCUGAUAUCAGAUACUAAAAUCCAAAAGCAGAAGCUCCAAUUGGUGCUCAACCACACAAAAAACUAUCUAACACCAAACUAAUUUACUAAAAACAACACGAAACAACAACAAAACCAACAAAAUGAAUUCGAAACUCAAAUCCCUCAUCACCUUCUCCGCAUCCGAGCUUGGGGCCUCUGUAGGGUGUCCGCGUCCGUAUAAACUCCAGCAGCGUCGUGGACGGAUCCACCCCCGACACCUCGUACCUCUCGCCAUUAAUGGCGAACACCAACCUCUCGACCCUCCUCCCCAUCUCCUCCUCCUCCUCCUCGACGACGAAACCCUAAUCAGGUUCGUAGCGUCCCCUACCUCUGGGAUCUCCUCCUCCCCCAUUUUAUACGCGCAUGGAGAGAUCGAAAGAUCCAUGGAGGAAUAGUGCGUCGUCGAUGAGGGAUUCAAAGUGAUAGCGAUGCAGUUGCUCUCGGGGGCGGGGGAGGGGAACGUUUUGAUUAAAAAAAAAAAGCACGGAGACCCCUUCAACUAUGGACUAUUUUAAAAUAUAACUCUCGGUUAUUUAUUUAUUUAUUCUUAUUAAUUUGGUGUGUUAAUAUUCUCUUUUUGGGGCUCGGAAUUUUAUACAUAUUUUUUAUACCAAUUAAAUUUAUAUAGUUUGAUAUACAUCAAGAAUUAAAGUGUCUAUCGACAGACAAUAUAUGUCAUGCGAGUAGGGCUAGAAUACUUGUAAAAGUAUCAUGGGGGUGAUACCUGUGUGUUUUUAGCCCUUGGAUGAAGAGAUGUGAGGUUGAGGUAAUGGUGGUAGGUGGUGGUAAGUGAAAUAGUAUUUAAUCCAAGGGCUAUUAAUAAUUAAAAAGUAGAUCCAAUGGCUUAAAACCUAAUAGCACCAUGAUGGUGAUACUUGUAAAAGUAUCAUAGCUCAACUCUGUGUCAUGCCAUAUCGUAUCAACUCUCGUACCGAUGGCACAACUCAAAAUUCUUUAUUUUUUAAAUUAUUAAGUAAUUUAUCAAUAAAGCUCGAAAAAAUUAAUAAAGAAACAUAAUAAGCAAUUAGAAUAUUUUGUUACUAAAAAAAAUAAAUAUUUAAUGUCAUUAUGUGUCAAUGCACAUAUUUUUUUGACCAACACGCACCGUAUUGUAUUGUACCAGUAAAUUUUCGGUACAUUUCUAUGCCACGACACUUAAAUUUUUGAUAUACAACAGAAAUUUUUAAAAAACUGUUAUUAUUAGUGUACUUGCAAUUAUUCCGGGCCAAAUAAUGAUUGACAACUUAAAAUAUAUAUAUAUAUUGGUAGGAAAAAAAAAAUUUCUUUUUCUCAAAACAAACAACUCAAAUAUAAGGUUAUAAGUAUUCCACCAAUCUAUACCAUACAAGGUUGUUAAUUUAAAAAAAUAAAAUUAAAGUUGAGAAGGUCUACACAAUCUUUUAACCAAUAUUUGCAGUAAAACGUAAAUUGCACAUCUUAAUCAAAAAGUAGAUGAGUUGAAAAUCAUGAACUUCAAAUUCUAGAGACUUUAAAUAUUUUAGAUGAAGCCUAAUAACAUUAAGUUUAAAUGUCUUAUAAUUGAGAAUAAAAUAAAAGCGCAAAUACGUAAAUGCUUCGAUCGAACUCUCGUAAAUUUUAAUUUUAUUAUCUAAAAUUUGCAACAUAGGCUUUUAAUUUUAUUAUCUAAAAUCUGCAACAUAGGCUUUGAAUUUGGAAACUUGAAUUGCCAAAAUUUGGUUCUCUGUCUCAAUAUUUGAGAAUUCAAAAAGAUAUGACAGGUUAUGACCUGGAUCAAUAGAAAUAUAUAUGUUUUUUAGUAUUUUCAAUAAAGAUAAUGUCUAAAGUGCUUUUUGUUGAAGCCGACGAGCCAAAGCACGUCACACAUGACACAUGGGAAUAGAACUAAUUGACUUAGUUUGUAGCCCGAGUUGGCUAUUUAAAAUAAGGGAAAAUUUCAAAAACCCUCCGUGGUUUCGUAGUUUCUCACUUUGACCCCCUGUGGUAUCAAUUUGCCCUUCUGUGGUUUCGUUUUUAUCUUUUCAGUAGCUUUUUCGUUAACAUUUUAUUAAAUUAUAUACAAAAAAACUUUAGAUACACAUCUAGAUUUAUCAAAUAUUCAUUUUAGUACCAUUUAAUUUUAACUUUAUCAUUGAUUUAAGAAAAAAAAAUAAUAAAAUUGAUAAGAAAAAGAGAAAAAAGAAACCACAGGGGAUAAAUUGAUAUAUUUUAAACCAUAAGGAGGCAAAAUAAGAAAUUAUGAAAUCAUAGGGGGUUUUUUUAAAGUUUUUCCAAAUAAUUAAAGUAGCAUGUGGGGUUGAGAUUUCCCUUUUCUUACGUGAAAAAUAGCAAGCACAUGCUGCGACUUACUCGUGUCUUUUUGUUGCUGCGAACUCUUUUUGUGUAGCGUUUGAAGUAGUAUAUUUACGCAAGUGAAGGAUUGGACUUUUUUUAUCACGACCACGGCCACGACCACGACCAUGACCACGACAACAAUAAUUAUUUUACCAAAAACAUCUACUUGAAAAGAUUCUCAUAUGUUACAAAAGAUUUACUGAUUGAUAUCAGAAAUCCAAAAUUUAAAACUUUAGUUAUUUUAUAUUUUUAAUUAAAUUUAUUUUUUAAAAGUAAAUGAAACAGAUAAUAUACUUUUUUUUUCCUCAAAAAGAAAAAGUCCUCAAAUGUUUUGACUUUAGUGUGUCAAUUAACUUGGGGAUACAAGAUUAAAAAAAACAAAAUUUCAUUUUAUUGUUUCUAGAGAAAAACUGGAAGGAUGAAUACAAUAUACUAGUUCUCCUAAACUUGUAAAUACUUUGGGCAAAUAUAUUGUUGGGUGAGAAGCAUCAUUUUUUUUUGGGGAAACUUCAAAUACCCCCCUAGUGGUUUCGCACUUUCUCACUUUACUACCCUGUGGUUUAAAGUGUAUCAAGUUAGUACUCUCUGGUUUCGCACUUUCUUACUUAAGUACCAUGCGGUUUCAAGUGUAUCAAGUUUGUACCCUGUGGUUUUAUUUUUGUAUCAAGUUAGUACCCUGUGGUUUCAAAUUUUCUCUUUUUAUUAUCCAUUUCGGGGUAUAUAAUUUAACGAAAUAUUAAACCACAUGGUAUUAAAGUGAGAAAGUGUGAAACCACAGGUUACUAAAGUGAAAAACUGCGAAACCACAGAGUACUAACUCGAUACACUUUAAAUCAUAGGGUACUAAAAUGAGAAAGUGCGAAACCACAGGAGGGUAUUUGAAGUUUCCCCUAUUUUUUUUUUUCAACCAACUUUUCUUUAUAAUAGAUUGAGUAAUUCCAAAAUGGUUCGUUUUUAAGGCUCAAAAUCACAAUUUUAUUUUCUCUAUCACAAAGGCUAAAGAUUUUUUUUUUUUUUUGCUGAUUUAUCGUAACUGAAAGCAAAAGCAGAAGUAAGACUAAAUAAACUCUUUAUCGAACAUUACUACACCCUACAUACCAUAAUUUUACUCAAGUUCUGUUAAUAGAAAGCUUCAUAAUUUUUUGCCAAUUUGUUGUAGUUGAAAACAUAAAGUAGAAACAAGACUAAAUAUGCUUUCAUCAAAUAAAAUCAGACCCUAAGGACAUCAAUUUUUCUUAGCAGGCUGAAAGUUCUAUCAUUGAAAAGUAACAAGAUUUUUUCUGCUAAUUUGUCGGAACUGGAAAGCAAAAGCAGAAGUAGAAAUAAACGGGCUCUUCAACAAAUACCAUUACACCCUACAAACUACAAUUUUACUCCUUUUAGUAGGCGGAAAAUUCUGUCACCGUAAAGCUCUAGAACUAUUAUCGUAAUUGAAAGCAAAAGCUUAGGUAAAACUAGACAAGCUCUUCAUCAAACAUCACUAUACCUCUGGGGCUCUAAUUUUACUCUUCUUAGCGUGCUAGAAGUUUUGUUACCAGAAAACUCCAUAAUUUUUUUGAUAAUUUGUCGUAACUAAAAGUAGGGCUAAACAUGCUCUUUGUCAAACAUCACUGCAUCAUCGAGACCGCAAUUUUACUCUUCUUAGCAUGCCUGAAGUUUUGUUACUGAAAAGCUCCAAAAUUUUUCUUUACUAAUUUGUACUAACUAAAAGCAAAAAAAGAAAUAAGACUUGACAAGAGCUCUCUCAUAUAUCACUACACUUUCGAAACCAUAAUUUUACUCUUGUUAGCAUACCUGAAGUUCUGUUUUGAAAAGCUCCAGAAUUUUUUUGGCUAAUUUUUAAUAACCAAGAGUGAAAGCAGAAGCAAGGCUAAAACAUGCGACAACAAUAUUGUAUAAUAGAGACCGCAAUUAUACUCAUCCAAGCAGGUUUGAAGUUGUCAUUGGAGAGCGUGCCCCAAUCUAUUGGGCCGGGUUUGGGCCCAAAUUUUACUCGGACAAAUAUUGUUUCGGGGGCCCAUCUUGGCAUAAUCAGACCCAGGACGUUUUGAAAUCGGGUCCUUAGCUAUGUCUUUUUUAAUUGUCAUUUUUUAUUUUGAAAAAAAAAAAAUCUAAUAAUGAUUCUAUUAAAUUUAGCUAUUCCGAAUGCUUUUUCAGCAAAUGGAACUGAGGAUUUGGUUAAAAUAUUAGUAACUGAUCAUUUUCUAAUUUAAAGUAUUAAAAAAUAAGUUAAAUUAAACAAAUAAAAUUAAAAAGUAGUAAUUAGAAAUGUAAGAGGGCUCCUUACAAAAUAUUCUAUAGUUGAGGGGGUUUCCGCACAGUUUUCACCCUAAUGGCCUAAUGGGCCUAAAUCCCCGCCUCUUUCUCUCUCCCUCUCUCAUCCCCUUCCUAUCUCCCUCGCGCGCUCACCCCAUCGCCAUGGGAGCUCUCCGCCUCCCUUCGUCUCCUCUCUCCCUCCUCCUCUCCCCAUCCACCCCUAUCCUCCGCUCCUCCCCCACCCUCCGCCUCCUCCGCCCCUCCCUCUCCGGCGGCGGCGGCGGCGGCGCCCCCGGACGCGGCGGCGUCUCAGCCCGGAGCCUCACCAAGGACGCGGCUGCAGCGGCGGCGGCGGCGGCGGCGGCGGCGGAGGGGGCGGAUCGGAAACCCUCGUCAUCGUCGGGGUACGAGGGCUCGGUGACCCCCCGGUCGGUGGACUUCAACGCGUGGUACCUCGACGUCAUCGCGAGCGCCGAGCUCGCCGACUACGGGCCCGUGCGGGGGACCAUGGUGAUCCGACCCUACGGCUACGCGAUUUGGGAGGCGAUUCAGGUACUACUCUUCUCUUCGAUUGAGUUCGUUUAAUUUGCUUAAUUAUGCUUUAGAACACUGAAUUUACGGGUGUUUUUACUGGAUUAGUCACCAAACUCUCCACUGAGUUCUAAAUUUUGUAGCAAUCCCUAAACUCAUGUUUACAAACAGUAGUCAACAUUAAGUAUGGUUAACAGUAAUCUGGGUUUCUGUUUAAUUGGCCUAAUAAUCCUCUUUUAAGCAGAAAAUGUUGCACAUUUCAGUCUCAGCUAGAUAUAGGUGGAGAAAAUGGGAAAAAAUUCUUAAUCUUUGAGUUAGAAAUCUUUGGAUGCCGUUCUCGUGGUGGUUAAUUUUGAUGGCAAUGCUCAUGAGAGAGUGAUUCAAGAUAUAUAGUUCUUUCUAACUCUCUGUGCUUUCUUUGCAUUGUUUCUUAAUUUAGGAUUAGAUUUGUCGUCUAAUCAAGUUUCAUGUAAAUUUGGAAAUAAAGAUCUGUGUUGCGGUUAGCAAAAAUAUUAAGAUUCUAUCAAAAUUCUACCAUCUUUUAAUAAGAGUGCAGUGAUUGCCAUAGAGCCUGAAGUUUAAUGGUGCAUUUGGGAAAAAUAAAGUACUGGGUUCGCCCCUUGAGAUCAAUCUAGUAAUCUAUAAUUAAACCUGAUUUGAACUAUAUGGUUUUAUUUACUUGUUUCUGUGGUGUUCAAUUAGGAUUUUUUGAAUGUAAAGUUCAAGGAGACUGGGCAUAGCAACAUGUACUUCCCUCAGGUGUGCUGUGUAUUCUUUAUUUUUGUUCUUCUGCCGUUUUUGUUUUAUCUUAUUUCUUUUAAUAUGUUUGGCUUAUAAGUUUACUUUCAAAGUUUCAUGCAUGUAUGUGACGUAUCCUUCUUAAUUUCACUUUUUUUUUUUCCCCUAGAUCAUAGGCUUUCACAGUGAAUUUCUGGAUACAUUUUACGGUUCAGUCGUUAGAAGGUUCUGCUCAUUAUCUCCUUAUAAUUCAUGAGCUAAUGUGUUAGAGUAGGCAGCUAUUUAGUGAAGGAUACAUAAGUGAUGCAUAAGUGAUACAUGCUUUGUGGAACCUUAUGUCAAUUGCAACUAGCUUUUAGUUUUGUAAACUUUGAUGAAACUACAACUCAUAUUCAAUUAGCUAGUAUAAUAGCUUUUGAAAAAUUUGUAUACAUCUGUAUAUAGUUCUUACCAAAUAAGUGGAUUGUUAAACUGUCUAUUCUGCUCGCUCGUUUGGCCAUCCUCAUGCAGUCUGAAACAGGGCUUAAAUUUCUCUUUUCUAACAUAGGCAUGUCUGUGUUUCCUGUAGAAAAGUCUAUCAAAGAUCAUCCUCUUCUUAAUUUAGCAAGAUAUUGAGAUCGUUGCUCCUCCCUAUUAUUUCUCUUCUCAGGAAAGAUCUAAGUUCUAGUCUAUAAGAGCCUUUCAAUGACUCACUUGGUUUUGGACAAGUUUAGUUUAUGUUCAUUAAGUCUUAUUUCACACGGUGGAUACUCAAUCAUGUUGUUCUAUCAAUGUUUUUUUGUUACAUUUGCUUUGGCUUGAUUCUUUUGCAUUGCGGCAGUUUAUUCCAUACUCAUUUAUUGAGAAGGAAGCCAGUCAUGUAGAAGGGUUCAGUCCUGAGCUUGCAUUGGUGACGAUUGGAGGAGGGAAGGAACUUGAGGAGAAACUUGUGGUAAAUUUCCUUCUUUUAGAGAGUUUUACACCUCUUUUAGCAAAAUUUUCAUUUCUUUCUUAUUUGAUUGAUGGACUGAGAUUGAAGUUAUUUUUACUUUUGAUUUUUCAUUUUUGAGGGUUUGAUAGGUAAGACCGACAAGUGAAACCAUCGUAAAUCACAUGUUUACUCAAUGGAUUCACAGCUACCGAGACCUUCCUCUCAUGGUUAACCAGGUUAAAAUCUUUUGAAGACUUCUGCCUUUUUAUUUAUUUCCUGCAAAAUUAUUUUCUUUUGAUUGUGCUCCAUUAAAAGCUCAGUGGGCCAAUGUGACGAGAUGGGAAAUGAGGACCAAACCUUUUGUUAGAACCCUUGAAUUUUUGUGGCAAGAGGGUCAUACAGCUCAUGCAACUCUAGAGGAGGCUGAGGAGGAGGUCUGUACUUCUUACUCUUUUUUUUUUCUUUUUAAUGUUUAUUCACAGUUCCUGCAAUUAUUAUACUUUGUUUUAUUAUUUUUUGUUGCUGUGCAGGCGUUACAGAUGAUUGACAUCUACACGAAUUUCGCUUACGAACAAGCUGCAAUACCUGUUAUUCCAGGUAGAAAAUCGAGAGUUGAGACAUUUGCUGGUGCCAAUCGAACUUACACUAUUGAAGCUAUGAUGGGUGACAGAAAGGCAUUACAAGCUGGAACUAGUCACAACCUUGGCCAGAAUUUUUCUCGUGCCUUUGGAACACAGGUUAUUGUUCGCUAUAAUUAUACUUCCAAUUGACUUAGUUGUUCGGAGAGAACUUUAAAUGUUCACUUUCGACUUUCGUGUAAUGCAAGAUUACUGCUAAACUCAAUUGUGUUUAUAGCUCAUCAUCCUAUCUAGUUCCUGCUGACUACAUCAACUUAGGCUUGUUAUUUAAGAGUUUGGAUGCAAGUUGUGAUAUAGGACUUUUUGGUUGAAAUUUUUGGUGGACCGAGCAAGGUUCAAAUGGUUUGGAUGGCUGUGAACAAAAGGAACCAUAUGAUAGGCUUUUGAAGAAAUUAUAAAUAAAACAAAUUUUCCUGUAGGUUUUGUAAUUUUUUACUGCUGGUUAUGUAACAGUAAAUGAUGAUCUGGUUAAGUUUUGGUGUGAAAUUGUGUGACUUGAGGAUUGAGGGGAUGCAAAUGGUGUGUAUAGAAAAAUGAAAGAUUUUCACAGUUUUACAGUUUCUUUGCUUUUGUUCUUCUUAUUGCUUUGCUGGAUUUUUCAAGUUUUUCAAGAACUUAUCCAUUUAGUACUAAUACUUAUCAUAAUGGUUUGUGGCAUGUACACAUGGCUUGGGUAACUGAUUGUACACAUGACUUACUUUGUGCAUAUUUCUCUGAUUAGUUUAUGUAUUGCAGUUCACUGAUGAAAACGGACAAAGGCAAUACGUAUGGCAGACUUCUUGGGCUAUCAGCACCAGAUUUGUUGGUGGCAUCAUCAUGGCUCAUGGAGAUGAUGCUGGUCUAAUGCUUCCUCCAAGGAUAGCACCCAUACAAGUAGGUUUGAGUAGAUAUGGGGAAUCCCACUGUACUUUCCAACCUUCAUUGCAUCUGAAGGAUAUAAUUUUAUCAUCCGAUAUUCUUUAGUUAGCCCUUUUAGUUGUGAUCCUACUUUGGUACAACGACAUUAAUAUAGUUAGCUGAUGCAUUUAUGGUGCCUUUCUUACUCAAAUUAUUUGCCCUGCAUUCGUGGGAGAGUUUUCCUGAAAUAAAAGAUGCUUAUAUAGAAGGCAGAGUAGAAUAAAUGCAAAUUUUGGAAAAAGCAGUUUGAUGCAGCUGUAAUGAAUCUGAAAAAUUUAGCUUAGCGACAUCAGAGGAUGACUCGAAGUUCUUAUUGGAGGGACAUUGUAGAAAAGAAAACCAGCAUAUGUGUACGCAUUUAGCCUUCUUUGAUCACACCAUUAUUUGAAAACACUACUUAGAAGAUAAUCAGAGAUAUGUGCUUACGAUUCUUGGUCUAUUAGACUCACGAGAAUAUCCUGAUGUAUAUAGAAUGAACAUCCUGUUGUAUAUAGAAUCUCUAUUCCGUUUGUCUUGGGAUUUUCUUUAUGUUUUCACAUCAGUGGAUGUACUUUAUUGCCAUGUCCUCAUAUGGGAGAUGCUAAUUUUGCUGGUUCUUAUCUGGUGUAUAGGUAGUAAUAGUGCCGAUCUGGAAAACAGCAGAUGAGAAAGCAGGAGUUUUAGAUGCCGUAGCCUCCAUUCAGCAAGUACUCAAAACCGCUGGAAUAAAAGUCAAAGUUGAUGACUCAGAGCAACGAACGCCGGGAUGGAAAUUUAAUUUUUGGGAGAUGAAAGUAAGCAUUUUAUGUCCAUUGAUGUUUUUUCUAUAAUUAUUCAAGAUUACAUUGUAAUCCUUGUGAAGGUAGGACAACAUAUGGCUAAGCGCGGUUAGAGAAUAUACAUAUACACCUGUAUGGCUGUAUAUGUAUGCUCUCUGUAGUUUAAUUUAUCACACAUAUGCUUCAAAAUGGAAAAUUUAGUGAGUGUCUCUUGUUUUCAGUGGUUUCCCUGAUCAAACUAGAGGUUACCAAGGAACCGUGCAUAACACUGAAUAGGGAGCCGCUGAAUACACCUGCCACACCUUAUAUGUGAAAUCGAUGCAUUACCUGAAAUACAAUCAUAAAGUUGAAAGUACGAGAGAUUCCUAUAGGCAUACCGUCAGAGAAACUUCCUUGACUAGCAGGGUAGAUCAAUAAAACAUUUGAUUGCUACUGUAGAAGCUUUUAUAAGUUUGGCAGCUGCCUUACUGAAAUGUUAGAAAAGGUUCUGAGAAAAUUAAUCUUGAGACUUUUUGGUUUUACACAGAUUUAUAUAGCAAAGUCUUCUUAUUCCUCAGGGUAUCCCUUUACGAAUAGAAGUUGGACCUCGCGAUGUAACCAACAGGAGCGUGGUUGUAUCGAGGCGAGACAUCCCUGGAAAGCCCGGCAAGGAUUUUGGGGUUUCUAUGGAGCCUUCAUCUCUAGUAGAUCAUGUGAAGAGACGGUUAGAGGACAUCCAGUCAUCGCUCUUGCAAAGGGCCACAUCAUUCCGUGAUAGGUAAAUUCAAUUUUUUUUGUCUCGCUGAAAAAUUAUAAAUAUGUAAUUAGCUGAAAUGAGAGCUUAUAUUUUUUCUAAUGCCCACCUAUUGAUAGGUUGAUGAAUCCUGCUAGAGAAGGUGCUGCUCUGUGUAAUAAAAUAUUUUUGUUUUAGGAUAAGGCCGUGUUGCGAUGUUAGCUGCAUUCUGUAUGCUAGAUUUUUUGGUUUCGUUGCUUUUGGAGGAAAUGGGGUGAAAUAACCCGGUCUUUCUACAGUAGGUGGUCAUAUAGAAUCAUUCACGACAUCUGGAGUAUAAGACCGAUAAGCUGCGCUAUUCUUGUUGCUUCUUCUUGUCAUUAUAUUCUUGUAAAGGGUAGUCUCUUAUUUUGCAGCAACAUAGUUGAUGUGAGCUCAUAUGGCGAACUGAAGGAGGCAAUUGCCGAAGGGAAAUGGGCACGGGGUCCUUGGUCAGCAAGGUAAGAAACAGUUUUUCUCGGAGUGUAUUACUUUUUUUCCUUUUAAACCAAUCCAUCGAAUUUAGCUAGGAGUUAGUGCCAUAAUUUUAACCAGCGGAUUAAAUCUGUUUGAAUGUUAGUGAUGCCGAAGAGUUAAAGGUUAAGGAAGAGACCGGUGCGACAAUACGUUGCUUCCCAUUCGACCAGCCCGAGGGGCACAAGAAGUGCUUUAUGAGCGGUAACUCAGCCGACGAAGUUGCGAUUUUUGCCAAAUCUUAUUAGUUUCGAUGUACUCUUCAGCAAUCUUAUUAGUUUCGAUGUACUCUUCAGCAAUUUUGCGCAUCACACACGUAAUUUAGCUUUCCUUUUGUUGUUAAUUUAUUGUAAUCCUAGUGGCUGCAUAAUGAUUCAAUUUGUGAAAGAAUUAAAGAAUUAACACCAUAAAGUAAUGAUGGAAUCGAUAUAUAUUUUUCGUCGUACAUUUUGUUUGGGAAGCAUGCUAAAGCUUCAACACGUACUCUAGCAAUAACUUGCUCGUCGCUGACCAUAAGAUUGAAUAAGAUGUAUGCAUACACUCUCUGCUGCUGUAUUACGGCUGAUGAAAUUUUUGCCUUUUUCCCUGCUUGGUCUUUGUAGCGUUGAAAUUCUACAUAAAGUCUCCAGUUCAUUGACUGGAACGACGUUUUUCAUUUGAUCGUUCACGUCCUUAUUUUCUGAUAAGAGAUUACUGAGACUUGUUACCCUCAAACUGCAAUGAACUGCACAAUACUCUUUUGAACCCUGCAAAGCGCGCUCAUCACUCUUGAGGAUUUGAAGCUGAAGUUUCUGUUAUAUGAUGCGCUCGGAUAGCGCGGGCAGCCGCCGGAAGAAGUUGUGCGCCGCUGGCGGCAUCCGAUCCCGAAACAUCGGGUGCCGGAGGUAGUAAAACCCCGCCGCCACCGCCAUCAUCCUCGAUGGGACCACAUAAAGCACCACUGCAACCGCCAGGCACAUCGCCACGAACAUUCCGGUGGCGCGCGGGUCCCUCCACGUCACCAGCGCCUGCACCCUCUCCGCCUGCGCCGCCACGUCGCCCAGCAUCGCCUGCACCCUCGCCCCAACCGCCCGGAGUCUGUCAUACCUCGCCCACACCACCUCUGCGGCCCUCGUGCUCGGCACCGGGUCGAACUCCUCGUCCAGCUCCUCCCUAUCUGCCGUCUCUGCCAUCGACACCCUCACGCAAGGGUGAGGCACGGGCCCCUGCAGGCGUCUCCGGUACCUCCAGGCCCCGACCGCCGCGAAGUGCACCGCCAGCACGGGCAGCAGCAGGUCCGGGUGCCACGCCAGCAGCACGAGCGCGCCGUGCGCGAGCGCUGUCGCCGUCGGGUUCCGCCAAUUCCGAGUGUCCUCGACCCACCGCGCCGCGUCGGCGGUCCACGCCAGCGCGGCCACGAUCCGGUGCCAAUUGGCGCGCACCUUCCGCAUGCUGAACCCGCGGGGCUCGGCUGCAUCCAGGAGCCGCAGCGGCUCCUGCAGUGCCGGGGGGAUCGGGCGGACGUGGUGCAUUGGGGGGAGCAUCGGGAGGCCGUACGCGUGCACCAGAUCCAGCACGGACCCCGCGCGCGCGAAGCGCACCGCGAGCUCGAUCUCCCCCAUGCGCUUGGCGCCACCGGGGAGCAUUAAAAUUAACGGGUAGGAUCCGCGGUAGACCCGAUCGGUCUCGAGGGUCGAGACCCGGAUCCGGACCUUCCCCAUGGGCCGGGAGCACGGGGGUGGGGCGGGGUCCUUGGGCCCGGCGUCGGGAUCGGACGGCGGGGACUCGUCGAAGACGGCGAGGGUGAGGACGGUGCAGGGGUCGUAGACGGGCCACGUGUACUGCUCGUUCCAGGCCGGGUCGAGGGAGUCGGCGACGGUGCGGGUGCGGGCCCACUUGGGCCCGUACUUGGCGACCGCGUAGGCGUCGGUGGAGCCCUUCCCCCGGAGGGUCCGCAUGGGGAGCAGGCCCCUGCAGCCGACCACGCCGAGCUCCACGGCCCCCAGCGGCGCCCGCCACAGCUGGCGCGCCGCGGGGCGGUAGUCGCUGCACGCGUGCGGCGCCUCGUCCGCCACGUGGUACCCCCCGUCCAGGCACGCCCGCACGUGCAGCCUCCCCCCCGGCACGUGACCGUGUCCCUGUCCCGGGCCCCCCUUCUUCUUGACGGUGGGGAGGACGUCGAGCCAGCGCGAGGCUACCGUGCGGUCGUCGACGCGGCGCUCCACGGCGGAGAGGGGGAGCGCGGCCGAGCCCACGGCGGCGGCGGCGGCGUCCUUGCCGGCGCCGCGGAUCUCGAGGGAGAGGAGGAGGCGCUCGUCCUCGCCGAAGGGCUCCGCGGCCACGAAGAUGAGGUCCUCGUUCCACGACGGGGCGCCGCCGCGGCACGCGGCGGCGCGGGUCCGGAGCACCUGAGACCCCAGUGCCGCGCGCACGGCGACGGCGAUCGCGGCGUCGCGCGUCGGCGAGGGGAGCGCGUCCUGGGCCUCGAUCACCGUGACGCGGAGGUACCACAGCUUGGGGGAGACGUAGACCUUGGAGCGCGAGGACCCGGCGGAGGGCGGCGCGUCGGCCUUCCACGCGUCGGCGAAGGAUUCGUCCGCCUGGGUCCCGAUCCACGUGGCGAGCAUCAGUUGGCCGCCGCCGCCGCCGCCGCGGGGGCCCUCGAGGCGGUACCACUGCGGGGCCAGGGGGCUGUCGGGUGGGUCCCGCAGGGGGACCUCGGACGCGUCGAAGCAGAGCGCGCCGAGGAGAUGCCUCUCCUCCCCCUCGGCGUCGUCGGCGUCGGCGUCGUGGUCGUCCUCCUCCCCGGGGGGCAGGUCCCACACGGAGACCUCGAGCGACGCGGCGGGGGCGGCGGCGGGGUCGCCGGAGUAGGGUUCGCGGGCGAAGGCGAAGGUGCGGUCCCACUCGUGGUGGGGCCCCGCGCGCCGCGCCUCCCGCGUGCUGGCGCGGCGCCCGUGCGCGGCCACGCGCACGCGCGGCGCCGCCCCCGCGGGGAGCCCGCGCGCGCGCACCACGCGCACGAACAGGUACUGCAUCUUGUCCACCAGGUCGUACUUGGCGGGCCCCUCCCUGGCGAUCUCCGCCCCCAUCCCCUUCAUCCGACGCGGCCGCUGCGGCGCCCAUUCGGGACCCGCCGCUUCCUUUUCCGGCUCACUUCUUGUCUCCACCGCCGCCGCCGCAAUUGGCUCGGGCGGCGCUUCUUCUUUUGCCUCCAUGUUUUGCCGAUCCGAUUCUUCCGCGGGCUUUUCAGAAUUCUCCGUAGGCACCGCCGCCGGCGCCGUUUCUUCCAAUUCGGAAGUAGCAGCACUUGCAGCUGCGGUUGCUCCGUCGGCCUCGGCCUCGGCCGGUGGCGCUUCCGCAGGCUUCUCCGCAUUUGGAGCCUCCGCCAGCGGCGGUGCUGCAGGUUCAUUACAAUUCUCAUGGACAGAAUUCGGUUCAUCACUACUAUCGUUAGCGGCAGAAUUAUCCGGCUCCGCAGCAGCAGCAGCAGCAGCAGCAGCAGCAGGUGCGGGGACGGGGUCGUCGACAUAAUACACCUUCAAGCCGAUCUCCCCCCUGACCCAGCUGAAGAAGCUCUUCUUCUCCAGCGGGAAGUGCAUCAGCGCCUCCUCGCCCUUCCGCACGCAAAACUGCCGCGAAUCCAACCUCACCCGCCCGAGGAAGUUGUUCCGCCGGCUCGGCCCCACCCUGACGUCGUGAAACACGUCCACCUCCAGCGGCUCGUCGAGGUCCGCCGCGGCCGCGACGUCGAACUCCAGCGCCUCGUUCCACGUCGGGUUGAGGUCGCGCUGCGCCGUGCGGGUCUUUCUGCGUUGCCCGUCGAAGUCGACGCGCACGUAGGGGCUCGACGUGCCGGUGCCGUCCUUCGGGAGGAGGUUCCGGGCCUCCACCACCUCCACUACGAGCUUCCUCAUCGUUGCGGCCAUCUAUCGAACAGUUCGUGUGGUAGUAUAACAAGCCUGUAGAAGUGGAGUCUAUAUAUAUAUACAUACAUAAAAUAUAAAGCAGCUGUUUUGUACCACUUUACUUGUUUAUAUUUUAAUACAUUAAGGUAUCGUUUGGUUCGGGGAUAAGAAAAAAGUGGCUAUUCCAGGGAUAGGUAUAAAUUGAGGUAUAAGCGAGGAUUAGAUCAAUUUUGCGUUUGGAUGAAAAUUUGGUUAUUCCUGGAAUAAAAAAAAUAGCGUUUGGUUAGGUAAGAUGGAAUAAGAAAGAUAAUGGGUUUUGUAAAUAAAAAAUAAUGAUAUUAUCCACUUAUUAUAUUUGAAUUUGAAUUUUUAAAUUUU
rnacentral:lncRNA from 1 species